CCUCCUACGAGUCGUCCGGCGGAAAAGACUUUCUGAAUGGGGUAAAAGAACUUGGGAUCGUCGAUCUCUUCCUUAAAGAUUGGGAUGAGUCGAUGUCGGUCGAUGGUGUGAAAACACUUCCUGAUGUCGAAUUCCAAAAACCAGCGAGAGGUUCCCCACUCUUCUUUGAUCCGUCUUAGGACGGAGUGGAAGCCUCGACCCGAGCGGAAGUGCGAUGUGUCUGGAAACUCGAGAUCGUAAAUGGAUUCGAGUACCAUUCUGAUCGCCUCUUUCAUGAUCCUUUCUAUAGGUAGAACUACUGUGAGCGGUCUAAACUUCGACCCUUAUUUCUUUCUUCAUAUUGUAAAGGGGAGCAAAGCCCCUUUUUUGCUCCCUCUAUUGAUAGAAAAAGGGCACUCCUGCCGUCGUUUCAGUGACUCAAACUAGUCCACCUCAAGUAUUCCUAUCUAUUCACAACAUCAGGGUACUACCUCUAAACCACCACCAGCUCCACUACCCAAAGUCACUCCUCACUCUCCUCCGCCAAUUUCCCCCAUAUAUGUGGCACCUCAGCCUUCUGCACUCUAGAGGUCAUCAAGUGAACCCCUUCCUCAAGCUUAUGACCCUCAAUGCUAUCCACCAGAACCUGCUUACAAGACCCAUGAGCCUUACUCUUAUGCUCCCCGUCCCGAUAUCCCGGCAGGAGUUGAAAAACCAAUAAAAAUUCCUAAGCACGAAGAGAUGCUUACAAAGGUCUGAAGUCUGGAAUAAUCAUUCAGGAACAUGCGGGGAUUAGGUGGCCAAGUAAGAAUGCCAUUCAAGGAUCUUUGUCUAUUUCCAGACGUGCAGUUUCCCCAAGGUUUCAAGAUGCCUAAAUUUGACUUAUAUGAUGGGCAUGGCGAUCCAAUCGCGCAUCUAAGGGGGUUUUGCAGCAAAAUGAGAGGAUUAGGGGGAAUAGAUGAAAUUCUAAUGGCGUACUUUAGCCAGAGUUUAAGUGGGUCGGCACUGGAGUGGUAUACUUGGCAGGAUCACAAUCAGUGGUAUAUUGGGAUGACUUGGAACAAGAGUUUGGUUGCCACUUUCCAUAUAAUCUCGAGAUUAUCCCGGAUCAUCUUUCUCUGACAAAAUUGGAGAAGGACACAACGAGAGUUUUAGGGAAUACGGUUUUUUGUGAAGGAAACAAGCAGCCAGAGUUGAUCCUCGCCUGAAGGAGAGUGAGAUGGUUGAUUAUUUCGACAGGCUCUGGAACCUACCUAUUUUGGACAUUUGGUGUCAGCAGUUGGAAAAUAUUUCAACGAAGUAGUCAAGAUGGGAAGUAUGGUCGAGGAAGGCCUCUAAUCUAAUACAAUCAUGAGCUACUCUGCAAUUAAGGCAACUACUCAGGCCAUUCAGGGUGGAGCUGGGGGAAUAUUCGGAAAGAAGAAGGAGGAAGUAGCGACAGUGGAGUCGGGCACUUGGUUCAGGCCUCGGGCGCCAUCUCAUUACGCACAACCUUGUCCUCACAACCAAACAUGCCCAUACACUCCAUACGGCCCACCACAACAUUACUAUCCACCAUUAGAACCUCCUUUCUCAGUCCAUCACGCGCAAGCGUAUACCCAACCUCCCUCUCACGCGCAGUAGCGUGCGCCAGCCCCACAAAUUACCUACCCAAUGCCACAAAAUAAUUGCCCACCUCCAAGAGCCUACCAACUACCCCCGAAGCCCGCCUUCGGAGCCAAUCUAGUCCUGUGAAAUGAAAGGGUGCAGAAGAAGAACACUUUCACUCCGCUGGGAGAAUCCUACACUAACUUAUUCCACAGGCUGCGAAAACUGGAUAGGUUGAGACCAAUUGAAGCGAAUUGCCAAAUCCUCCCCCGAAGAAUCUAGAUUAUUAUGUCAGCUGUGAAUACUGUUCCGCUGCACCAGGGCAUGGCACCGAAAAGUGUUGGCAUUCAAAAAACACUAUCCAGGAACUUAUUGACUCCCACCAGAUUUAGGUGCAGACUCCAGAGGCACCCAAUAUUAACCAAAUGCCACUGCCAGCCUAUUAGGAGACAAACAUUAUUAAGAUCGUGCAAAAACGAGGAGAGUCCAAAAGGCUCUCAGAAACAGAAUUGAUGAUCAAAGCCAGUAAGGUGAAGCCAGCUGAGAAUGCAAGAAGUGAAAAGUUGUUAAUCGAGACAAAAGGAAGAACAACAAACCUGUCAUAGUUUGGGGAAGCUCAGCCAGCACGACUGCGCUAAAACAGGAAUAGGCAAAAGUAACAGUACAUGGGCAAGCUAGAGAACAUGUCGUGGUUAUCGAAGGUGUCCGUAAAGAGCCAGUCAUUGUAAAACCAGUAAUCUAGCCACCAAUCAUCAACAGCAAAGUCGUGCCUUGGAGAUAUAAUCAAGCAAUAUUGAUGUAAAAAGGUAAACAAGUUAGGGAGGAAGUGUGUGAGGUCCGAGGUUUAACUCGAUCGGGAAGGUACAUUGCCACGGAAGAAUUGAGGAAGGGAAGAAUCUCUAAUGAUAACCCGGAACUAACAAAGAAAGUUAUGUCGGAGGAAGAGGUGGAAGAAUUUUUGAAGAAAAUGAAAAUGCAAGCUUACUCCAUCAUAGAACAGUUGAGGAAGACACAGCUCAGAUCUCUUUAUUAUCCUUACUAAUCCACUCAGAUGAACACCACCGUGUGCUGCUGAAGAUUUUGAAUGAAGCCCAUGUCCCAGACAUGGUAAAAACUAAUCAUUUGGAAAAUAUUGCAAACAUGAUAUUCGAGGUAAACAAGGUCACAUUCUCUAAUGAUGAAUUUCCCAUGGAGGGCACAGAGUACAAUCGGGCUCUUUAUGUGACCGUGAAAUGUAAAGAUGUUGUGGUCACCCAAGUUUUGGUCGACAACGGGUCCAGUACAAAUAUUUGUCCACUCUCCACAUUGAUCAAGUUGGAGGUGGAGAUUGAAAGGGUCCACAAGAAUAACAUCUGUGUUCGAGGUUUCGAUGGUGGAGGCAAAGACACUGUGGGAGACAUAGUGCUGGAAGUGACAAAAGGGCAUGUUGAGUUCACUAUGGAAUUCAAAGUGCUGGACGUAGUAGUCUCUUAUAACCUUUUGUUGGUUAGGCCCUGGAUUCACACAGCCAAAGAAGUGCCAUCUACGCUACAUUAGAUGGCUAAACUUGAAUUGGACAUGUAAGAGACUGUGGUGGACGGUGAAGACAAUCAUAGCAUUGCAGGUGAUGUAAUCGUACCUUUUAUUGAAUUUUAAGCUAGCAAAGGGCCAUGGGUCUACCAGGUAUUUGAUAAUGUUUCAGUUCAAGAAACUCCUAGAGGGUGAGGUUGUCAUGACCCCAAAGAUAGCAACCGCGUCCGUCAUGGUAGCAUCAGAAAUGUUGAAGAAUGGUUUUAUGCCUGGCAAAGGGUUGGGUGCUUCUCUACAAGGCAUUGUGCAACCAGUAUCCCUCCCCAAAAAUCUGGUCACUUUUGGCCUAGGAUCAAGCCUACAGUCGCAGACAUAAGGCAAGCGAGGAUGCUAAGGCAGAAGGCUUAGGCUCUCCCAAAGCGCAUCCUAAGGUUGUCCAAAUAAUUCGUCAAGCCCAGUACUAGCAUAUGGCCCCAUACCAAGGAUUUCGGGCCCGGUGAUCAAUGCGGACGGGGAUCUUGAAAGGGGUUAGAAAGGAUGUUCAAUGAGGUGAAUAUGGUCGAAACAAGAGAAGGAUCAUGCUGGGCAGAUGUGCAGUUUGUGGGAGCACGCGCAAAAAUCAAUAACUGGAAAACCACCCUUCUUCCCACUCGGAGGGAGUUGUGGUAGUCGGUAAUGAUUUUCCUUUCAGUCUAGUUUGGAUUAGCCUCAGAGUUGUUAAUUCAGUUGUUAUUUUCGUCCAUUUGGAUGUGUAACUUUGUUAUCUUAGAUUCUAAUGAAAUGCAAUUUCCCUUUCAGCAGUGCUGAUAGUUUCCAUUUCUCUUUACUCCUCUUUCUUUUCUCUUUUGUACAGUUAUUUUUACGCUGAUUAUAGUGAUCUGACAUGCAUAAGGACUCCUCUCCCCAGUCUUCAAAACCGAUCUAGUUCGAAAAUAAUAAUUUAGGAAAUAGAACAUGAAGAUGAACCAGAAUAUGACAUGGAAGGGGCUUAUGAUGAGAUUAGUAAAGAGAUGAACCAAUUUUAGGAGAAACCCAAACCAAACCUGAGUGAUACAGAGGCAGUCAACUUAGGAAGCCCUGAUAAUGUUAGAGAAAUAAAAAUAAGUGUCCACCUAGAGCCACUACUUUGGAAAGAAAUAAUUGAAGUACUGCUGGAAUACAAAGAUGUCUUUGCAUGGUCCUACGAUGACAUGCCCGGAUUGAGAACUUACUUGGUGGUUAACAAGUUACCUACUGACCCAUCCUGCCCUCCUGUUAAGCAAAAGUUGAGAAAGUUUAAAACUGAUGUGAGCGUGAAAUUUAGAGAGGAAGUGACCAAGCAGUUUGUGGCAAAGGUCAUCCGAGUCACACGAUAUCCCACCCGGUUAGCUAAUGUUGUGUCUGUACCAAAGAAGGAUGGUAAGACCAGAGUGUGUUUUGAUUAUCGUGACCUCAAUAAAGUAAGUCUGAAGGACAAUUUCCCCAUGCCGAACAUUCACAUACUGAUUGACAAUUGGGCAAAGCAUGAGACCGGGUCAUUCGUGGAUUGUUACGCAAGCUACCGCCAGAUCUUAAUGGAUGAAGAAUAUGCGGAGAAAACAACAUCCAUCAAACCAUGGAGGACAUAUUGCUAUAGAGUCAUGCCUUUCGAUUUGAAAAACGCCGGGGCAACAUAUAUGAGGGCCAUGACAACCAUUUUUCAUGAUAUGAUACAUAAGGAAAUUGAGAUCUAUAUGGAUGAUGUCAUAGUCAAGUCCAGAAAGCCAUUCGAUAAUGUCAAAGACUUGAGGAAAUUCUUUCAAAGGCUCCGCAAGUAUGACCUCAAACUCAACCCGGAAAGAUGUGUAUUUGGGAUCUCCUAAGGAAAGUUGUUAGGGUUCAUAGUCAGCCGCCGAGGCAGCGAACUAGACCCAUCAAAUAUCAAGGCUAUAUAGGAGCUUCCACCGCCGAGGAAUAAAACAGAAGUGAUGAGUCUACUGGAAAGAUUGAAUUACAUCAGUCGAUUCAUUGCUCAGCUCACAACCAUCUGCGAGCCCAUCUUUAAGAUAUUGAAAAAAGAUGUUGCGGUGAAAUGGACAGGAGAGUGUCAGGAAGCUUUUGACAAGAUAAAUGAGUAUUUAUUGAACCCCUCAGUAUUGGUCCCUCUAAUACCAGGAAAGCCCUUGAUAUUAUAUUUGAUAGUCUUGGGCAACUCAUUUUCGUGCGUAUUGGGUCAGCACGUUGUAACCGGGAGAAAAGAACAGGCCAUAUACUACCUCAGCAAGAAAUUUAGGCCUACGUGGUUAAGUGUACUCAUCUUGAAAGGACGUGUUGCGAUUUGACAUGGGUAGCCCAAAAGUUAAAGCAUUUCAUGUCAUCAUACACCACUUACCUCCGCUCACGUUUGGACCCAUUGAAGUAUAUUUUGCUGAAGCCUAUGCCCACAGGAAGGCUCGCGAAAUAGCAAAUCUUGCUCACAGAGUUUGACAUUAUCUACAUGACUAGGACUACCAUGAAAGCACAAGCAUUGGCAGAUCAUUUAUCUGAAAAUACGAUAGAUGAAGAAUAUGAGCCCUUGAACAAAUAAUUCUGUGACGAGGAAGUGAUGCAUAUUGAUGAGAUGGAACAUGAUGAGAGAUCGGGAUGGAAAUUAUUCUUCGACGGUGCUACCAACAUGAAAGGCAUUGGGAUAGAGUAGUGCUCAUUUCUGAAGAAGGGCAUCAUUACCCAGUCACACCACAACUCCGCUUCUAUUGCACUAACAAUAUGGUAGAAUAUGAGGCGUGCAUUUUGGGUCUGAGAUUAGCAGCAGUCAUGGGUGUCCAGGAAGUCUUGGUCUUGGGAGACUCGGACCUUCUGGUAUGCCAUAUUCAAGGGGAGUGGGAAACAAGAGACUUAAAGCUCAUACCAUACUGGCAAUUCUUGCAUGAUCUUUUCCAACGAUUCCUGUCAAUAGAGUUCAGGCACAUCCCUAGAAUUCACGAUGAGGUUGCCGAUGCCCUGGCUACUCUGCAUCAAUACCACAUCACCUGAAUAAGGCUUAUGUUGACCUGAUACAUAUCUGGGUCCAUGAUCAACAUGCUUAUUGCAACAUGGUGGAAGAAGAACUUGGCGACGAGCCUUGGUUUCACUAUAUCAAGGAAUAUAUCAGGAGAGGUAUAUACCAGGCACAAGCCACGAGUGGCAAGAAGAAAACAAACUGUCGUUUGUCAAAUGGGUUUUUCUUCAAUGGAGGAAUAAUAUACAAAAGAAUGCCAGAUCUUGGUUUGUUAAGAUGUGUAGAUGCUGGACAGGCACCAACUAUCAUGAAUGAGGUGUAUGCCGGCGUCUACGGGCCACAUAUGAGUUGGUAUGUUUUGGAAAAGAAGAUUCUCCGGGCAGGGUAUUAUUGGCUAACCAUGGAGCGGGAUUGUAUCAGCUUUGUGCGCAAAUGUCACCAAUGUCAGGUGUGUGAAGACUUGAUUCACUCUCUGCGGUCUGAAUUGCAUACGAUGUCUGCAUCGUGGCCUUUUGUUGCUUGGUACAUGGACGUCAUCGGGCCCAUCGAGCCAGCAGCUUCUAACAGGCACAGAUUUAUCCUGGUUUCUAUUGACCAUUUCACCAAAUGGAUUGAAGCCAAAACCUACAAGGUAGUGACCAAGAAGGUUGUGGUUGACUUUGUGCAUGAGAAUAUCAUUUGUCUAUUCGGAAUCCUCAAGACGCUCAUCACGGAUAAUGGGGCAAAUCUCAAUAGUUAAUCAAUGAAAGAAGUAUGUCAAUAUUUCAAGAUCACACAUCGAAAUUCCACCCGGUACCGCCCCAAGGAAAACGGAGUAGUUGAGGCGGCCAAUAAGAAUAUAAAGGAGAUACUUCGCAAAAUUGUGAAAGAGUCCAGGCAGUAGCAUGAAAAACUACCCUUUGCAUUGUUAGGCUAUCGCACCAUCGUUCGCACUUCAGUAGGGGAAACCCCAUACUUGCUGGUAUACGGUAGAGAGGCGGUAAUCCCGGCUGAAAUUGAAAUCCCCUCUCUUCAAAUCGUGGUCGAAGAAAGAGUCAAUGACGAAGAAUGGGUCAAAGCUCGCUUGGAGCAAUUGAGUUUGAUUGACGAGAAAAUAUUGAUGGCGGUAGGUCAUGGUCAGUUGUAUUAACAAAGGAUGGCCAGGGCAUAUAAUAAGAAAGUGAGUCCCGGAAAGUUUGAAGUAGGUUAAUUGGUAUUAAAGCGCAUCCACCCUCGCUAGGCCGAGGCAAAGGGCAAGUUUGCUCCAAAUUGGCAAGGACCAUUCGUCGUAUCCAGAGUGUUGUCUAAUGGAGCAUUGUAUCUCAUAGAUGUGGAAGGGAAAUGUGUGGAAAUGGUAUCAAUCUGGAUGCUGUCAAAAGAUAUUAUGUAUGAUUUUAUUUUAGAUCAUUGUCUAUACUUGACAUUUGUAUGUACUUGGCAUAUUUUGAAAGUUGGAAUGACGAAGGCAUUUUAUUCUACUAUCUAAACACUUUAUCCUUUGUUAACCCUUUUGAGCUUUAGUUAUUUUCUUUCAUACUCCUCUUUCGAAACUGGUGACAAAGUUAGAAAAUCAAGCAUGAGAAGGCCAAGAAAAGAACGCAAAGAAUAAAAAGAAAAGAAAAACAAGAAAAGAAAAGAGAAAAGGAAAACGACGAAAGAAAAGAGAAAAGAAAAACAAGAAAGAAGAGAGAAAAGAAAAACAAGAAAAGAGAAGAGAAAAGAAAAAUAAAAAAAGAAAAAAGAGAAAAGGAAAAUGAGGAAAGAAAAGAGAAAAGGAAAACAAGAAAGAAAACAGAAAAGAAAAACAAGAAAAGAAAAGAGAAAAGGAAACAAGAAAAGAAAAGAGAAAUGGAAAAGAAAAAAAAUAAUAACAAAAGAAAGAAAAGAAAAGGAAGGAAAGAAAAACAGAAAGGCGAAGAAGAAAAACAACAUCGCAAAUAAGGAAUCUUUAUAAACUACGCUUGACCUGAUUCCUUUUAAAAGGAUACGUAGGCAACCUCAUGGUUCAGUCUCAUCAAAAUAAAAAUCCAAAAGUUCCCCAAUCAAGAAAAUGGGGCAGAAGUUGUGGUCGUUGAAAGAAUUCAAUUCCGAAAGUUGUAGCUUUUGAUCCUUCUUAAUUGCGUCUAGCCAUUGAUAUGCUUUCUUUCUAACCCUAUCCAAAAGCCCAUGCUACGGUCCAAAGAAGGACCUUCUGAUUAGUCUUAAGAAGAUUCCAAGUUAAGCAAGUAGAGGUGGUUCAUGUCAGGGACAACACUCUGGGCCAAGCAGGAAAGAUAAUAAAAUGAGAGAAUCUUAUCGGUUAAAAUCCUCACGGGAACCUUAAGGCGACGAGAGUUGAGAGAAAUAAAAAUGAGAAAGCCUCUUUGGUGAAAACCCUCACGGGCACCGUGAGGUGAAGGUAAGGCAAGAACCAACACUCUAGAAGGGGCUAUUGGUGGAUGAAAAACUGUAAGGCAAGAAAAGCUAGGGUGUGGUUGAAGGAAUUGGAUUAGAAAGGUCACAACCACAAAAGCACAGCAGCAGAAGGUUGGACGUUGAAACGGACUGGGUCGACUAGGAUGAAGUGCAUGUCUUGAUCAUGAAAAACCAGUUGUUCCUCUUUAGAUAAGUUUUCUUUCUCUUCUUUCCAACAGUUAGUGAAUUCAUCUUUCUUUCGAGUCUGUAAAGUUUUGUUUAAGCGAACGAGAGGAAUUUCCAAGCCGAUUAUCAGCUCCCAAAGCGACAAAACGUAUGACGCCCAAAAGCAUAACGAAGAUAACAAGUGCGAAACAGCAUGGAUAGGGAUUCCCAAAACUAUAAUUGAUGGAAGAGACAAGAGUCGGCAACGUAAAGGAACACCACGCAAUAUGUGGAUGCGAAGUAAAACCACAAAGAUCAACAGUCAGUCAAGCAUCAUAAAUGAACCGGGUAAUCUCAGGGAAGGGUGUAAGGAUUUUAGGAAAGGCUCGGAAAUGUAGACAAAACAAAGCAACAAGGACCAGAGGAUCGGCCAAGCAUAACACCCUAACUCAACAAUCAUCAGAGAAGGGUAUAAGACUCCUGAUAAAAGAGGCAAAAGCGCAACAAGAGUGGAAAUGGUCAUAUGGGUUGACCCAGCAUGAUAUAUCAACUCAUCAAUCAUCGAAAAGAGGCAUAAUAUAUAUAGGUGAAAGGUCGGAACUUCAUCAAAAAGUACGGAGCAAAGUAAAGGCACAAAGGGAAAGGGCCAACCAAAAAAUCAUAGACGGACCGAGACACCGCAAGGAAGGGUGCAAAGAUUUUGGUAAAGAACCGGAAAUGUAACACAAAAAUGAAGAACAAAGUGAAUCCGCAAGGUUCAGAGGAUUGGCCAAAGCAUAAUACAUUAAUUCAUCAAUCGUCGGGAAAGGACAUAAAGAAUUCUGGCAAAAACUAGAAAUGUAAUACAAUGAUUUGGAUCAAAGUAAAGCGUAUAGGUUUCGAGGGGUCAGCUUAGCAGUUCAAGUGACUCAUCAUCAACAUGGGAAAUGGAACACAACGGAACACGACAGUGGAGAGCCCGCCUCCAACAAGAAUGUCGCAUGCCAGUCACCAUUUAUCAAACUGACUAGUUUUCUUUGAUUGACAUAGAGGCAGAAAUAUUCUAGAAGAGCCUAAGGGAGGCUAUCGACAAAGGGAAAGAAGGAACAUGGCAGGUAUGAUAAAAAUCUCAGGGCCCACCUGGAAGUGGGGCUCAGUUAAAACUCAAAAAGGACAUAGUCCGUCAUAAAUAUCCUGCCCAGCAAAGAAGACAAGGGGACAAACUUUAACUAGCAAACCCCAACAGGAACAACUGAGGGUUAAAAGAUGCAUGGAAGUUGAGAUGGAACACAGUUUAAAACUCAAACAGGUGUGGGUAACAUGGGCAAGCACUAACACCUCCCCAGUAAGAGUCGUAGAAACCCUAUUGGACAAUAAUCACUGGCAGAAACAACCAGAAGUUAAAACAGGAAUUUAAGUUGGAACCUUCAAGACCCUCUUGAAAAAUGGGACUUACCGUAGAACACAAACAGUCAGGGGACAUGGUCAGACCCAAAUACUUCCCCAACAAGAGUCAUCAGAACCCCCUGGAUAAUGGGAUGUAGUUUUAAAUACUAACCCCCAGCAGACAUAUUUUUUUGUCUAAUUAAGAGUUGUCAGGACUCGCAUGGAAAAUGGGAAAUAGUUUUAAUCACCAGUCACGAGCAGACCCCCAACAGAUAUAAAUCAUAUCGAAAAUAAUACCUUUUGAGAAACAUAAUAUAAUCUUAAGGUUGUCCUUAGUUAAAAUUUGUCAGGACCCUCCUGCAUAAUGGGACUUAGCUUAGAUUUAGAGAUAUUUGGUAAGAGGAUUUGAUUAACUCUAAUGGAUUCGCACAGCACCAAACUGGGGCAGGAAGAAUUUCUUGUGUUUUGUUUUUUUUGUUAUGAUCAGGUACAGAAGCAAUGGUCUCGGGGAAUAGUUUUCAAAAUUUCAAGUUUGGUAAUCAGGCAACCACAUGUAGAACUAGGGAAUACUUUUAAAAAAUUCAAGGUUUGGUAAACAGGUGCCCACCUGUAGAACAAGGGAAUUAUUUUUCAAAAUUUCAAGUUCUGGCGAUCAGGCGCCCACCUGUAGAACAAGGGAAUACUUUUCAAAAUUGAAGAUGUGGCAAUCAGGCGCCCACCUUUAGAACAAGAGAAUAUUUUUAAAAACUUCAAGUUUUGGCAAUCAGGCGCCCACCCGUAGAACAAGUGAAUAUUUUUCAAAAUUUAAUGUUUUGGCAAACAGGCGCCCACCUAUUAGAACAAGGGAAUAGUUUUCAAAAUUUUAAGUUUGGUAAUCAGGCGCCCACCUGUAGAACAAGGGAAUAAUUUUCAAAAAUUCAAGGUUUCAUAAACAGGUUCCCACCUGUAGAACAAGGGAAUAUUCUUCAAAUUUUCAAAUUUUGGCAAUCAGGCGCCCACCUGUAGAACAAGGGAAUACAUUUCAAAAUUCAAGGUUCGGAAAUGAGGUGCCCACUUGUAGAACAAGGGAAUAUUUUUCAAAAUUUCAUGUUGUGGCAAUCAGGCGCCCACGAAAAAGGAAAUAUUUUUCAAAAUUUAAAGUUUUGGCAAACAUGCGCCCACCUAUUAGAACAAGGGAAUAGUUUUCAAAAUUUCAAGUUUGGUAAUCAGGCGCCCACCUGUAGAACAAGGGAAUAAUUUUCAAAAAUUCAAGGUUUGAUAAACAGGUUCCCACCUGUAGAACAAGGGAAUAUUUUUCAAAAUUUCAAGUUUUGGCAAUCAGGCGCCCACCUGUAGAACAAGGGAAUAUAUUUCAAAAUUCAAGGUUUGGCAAUCUGCUGCCCACCUGUAAAUCAAGGCAAUAUUUUUCAAAAUUUCAAGUUUUGGCAAUCAGGCGCCCACCCGUAGAACAAGGGAAUAUUUUUAAAAUUUUCAAAUUUUGGCGAUUAGGCGCCCACCUGUAGGAUAAUGAAAUACUUCUCAAAAUUUGAAGUUUUGGCAAUCAGGCGUUCACCUAUAGAACAAGAGAAUACUUUUUAAAAUUUCAAGUUUUGGCAAUCAGGCGCCCACCUACAGAACAAGAGAAUAGUUUUCAAAUUUUCAAGUUUUGUAAUUAGGCGUCCACCUGUAGAACAAGGGAUUAUUUGUCAAAAUUUCAAGUUUUGGCAAUCAGGCGUCUACCUGUCAGAACAAGGGAAUGUUUUCAGGUUUCAAGUUUGAUAAAGUUUUUGUAAUAAGACGCCCACAUGUAGAAUAAAGGAGUAUUCUUCAACAAUGCGAGUUUGGAGAUCAGGCGCCCACCAUACAUAACAAGGGAGUAUUCUCAGGUUUCAAGUUUGGUAAGGUUUUGUAAUCAGGCACCUACCUACAAAAUAAGGGAAUACACGUCAAGUCCAAUAAUUCGGCAUAAAACAUGGAAAAUGAGAAGGCAAGAAGUGAACAAGGAACGAUCUUAGAGGAAGGGAUGUCAGUCAACAAGGCAACAAGGAGUUCACAAGGAAACAAAGCAACAAAGAUCGAGAGCAAGAUUGAAGACAUAGAUAGGUUUUUUUGUAAUCCGUAGUUCAUAGCUCAGUCUAGUUUCUUUUUAUUUUUCAAGAGGUGUAAUAAGGAGGUCAAAAAGCAGUAACAGCAACAUCAGCAACGAAAUCACAGCUCGUGGUAGCCCCAGCUACCAAACACUCCAAAACUACACUAACAUGAUUCCUUUAUAGCCAUGGAUAUGUAGGCAACCUCUGAAGCAGGGUUCGGUCAGAUAGUUUUCCAAAAUAAUUCUCAUGGAAUUCAAAGCGGGCAAAAAUCUCUCAAAUGCUUAUUUAUCUUUGCCCGAAAACCCUUCGUGUCUCCGAGCAAAGAGGGGUAGCUGUGGCACGUGAUUUUUGCUUCGCUUGACAUGUUCCUAUAAAAUUCAUUAAAAUAGAAAGUUUCUUUUACUAUUUGAAUUUUGAAUUUUUAAGGAAUUAAUUGUGUGAUUUUGGGUCUAUUCACAUUUUUCUUUUAUUAUUUCAAUUUUUAGGAUUUAUUCGCAUGAUUUUGUGUUUGCUUGAUUUUAUGAAUUAAUUGAAUCGUUUUGUGUUUAUUUGCAUGUAGCACGUUUUAAUUUUCAUAUCUCAUAAUACUAUAAAAAAUGGCAUGUCUGUAUCUAGUAUUUGAACUUUUCAUUUUUAGGUUAUUGAUUAAGUUAGUAUCGAAAAUGAGGAAAUAAUAAAAAAAAUUGGUUAAUUUUCUGUGAAAUUUAGAAUUUAAGAGUUUAUUUAGUUUAUUUCUUGAUUGAAUAUGUUAUUGGUUAUUUUUCUUUCUAUUUUUAGUUUUGAUCAUAAAUAAAUCUAAAAAAUAAUAAAGCAAAAUAUACAAAAGGAGUAAUUGUUUGUAAAGAGGCUAGAAUCUGAUAUUGGGCCAUUUGUUGGCCAUAAAACUUAGCCCAAAACCCUAAACCCACCAAGACAGACCCAAACCCAGCCCCUUGCCCGGUCCAAAAGCCAUAGGUGCCAAAACGACAUCGUUUUUAUCAAGAAAUUUGGGCAAUUGAUCAGGCCUUAUCGGACGAUCGAGAUGGGGGAGGUAUUACCCUAUAUAAAUGUCGAAAUAACAACCCCUCCCCCCCAACAAGUCUAACCUCAUACCUUGUCCAAAAUAAAUCCUAAAUUUGCCGAUGUAAAAAAGAAUAAAGGGGUUGUCCUAGCCUUUGGCUUUAAAAGGCACCCCAAUUCAUCCAAAAAAGGGGGGCACAAUCUGGAAAGAAAUAUUCCAAAAUUUCCUAAGAUUCUGGAGUCUAAAAACUCAAAAAUCUCAGAAAACUUCCAAAAUCCAAUUCUUAUUAAAAAUUAUUAAACCCCUGAAAUUUAGUAGGGUAAUUACUAUUCUAUUAGGUUGCUUUUUCCUGAAUAUAACUUUAAUCGCAGCUGCGUAGUAGAAAUUUAGAUAUAAAGAUGAAAAAAGCCCAAAAAAUAUACAUUUAUAGAGUUGAGUUUCCAGCAUUGGCCUGGGGUUCAAUUGGAAUUGAAUGGGUUAUUGUUCCAGCUAUUUUUAAGGAAACAUUCUGCCUGGGUUCAUGUUUGUUCGUUUGAGUUUCGUUUGAGCAAUCUGGUUGGGAUUUACUUGUUUGAGUUUGGUCUUAUGUUUUCCUGGGAAUAGUUGGUAGCAUUACUUGGUGUAUCAUUACUCAUGAACUUUGGUUUUGCGAACAUCAUGCUGCUGCUGAUCACUGGAAACUACUGCUAACUCCUUACUCCCUUUUUGCAUUUUGAUUCCAGUUAUUACUUAAGCCAAAGCUAUGUGUGAUGACUGGGAAUACAAAUUCAGCAAAUGGUUAAUGGCACUGCUGUUUAUUGCUUGAAGAUAUGGUUGUGUCAUUCAUUUUAAAUACCUUUAGUAGUGUAAUGUCCUUUUAUUUGUAGUAAUGCAACUGUGAAUAUUAAUCAGGCAUGUAAAUUGAACUGAAUUGUUAAUCUGUUGAUCGAGACUAUGGUUGGUCCUAGUGUAGUAUACUUUGAUCAUUAAAGUGUUUAUUUGAUUUUGUUGUCAGCGGAUUCGAUAUUGAUUUAUACAUACAUAUGAUUCAGAACUGGAUUAUUUAACAGCCAUAGAACUGAGUAGGAAUUUUCAGAAGUCAUUGAAGUUUCAGUAGCCAUAAUUGAUAUUGACUUAUGCAUACUGAGUCAAAGUUGGAUUGACAAAUGAAUUGCUUGUUUGUAUUGAAAUUGAACUAUGUUGCAGCUCUGACUUAGCUCGUUUAGUCAUGUGUUGCUGGAAAUCCAUAUUAGACUCAAUAAAUUGGCUAUUGGCUCGCCUCAGUCAAAUAGGACACCCCCAUAUCUAAGUUUGGGCUUGGUAAUUCAUUUACCAAAGGCCCAACACAAUGUGUUCCGCUCAUUUGUCUAAUAUAUCAAAUGUAGAAAAGUAGUAGUUCAUCUUAGGGAUGGCCUUAAAAAAUAACAACGAGGCGUGCCAUGCCAAACGGAACUCAUAACUCGCGUGGCCCUAGUAAAAUGUUUGUAUUAAAAAACUUAGAGAUUUGGGACAUGCCGUUUAGCAAAUUUUACGGCUUCCCGCAAAGAUAAUAACGCGAUAGUCGCUUUUAGGAACGUCUGUAAUAAUUUUAUUUCCUUAAAUGCGGGUGCGAAUUUAUGUGACCCAAAUCCAAAUUCCAACAAAGUUAGAAUAUGACAAGAACCACGGGUGCACGUAUGUGACGUGGUUCGAGAUAUGUUUUAACAACGUUGUAAUUUCCUUUAAAAAUAAUAAUAAAAGUGGUUAAAAGAUUAAAAAAAUGUACAUAGGUUCAUAAUUGUAUAAAAUCAGGUAAUUUAAGCCAAAUAUAACAGUUGAGCGACCGUGCUAGAACCACGGAACUCGAGAAUGCCUAACACCUUCUCCCGGGUAAACAGUAUUCCUUACCCGGAUUUCUGGUUCUCGGACUGUUAAACAGAGUCAGUCUUUCCUCGAUUCAGGAUUCUAAACGGUGACUUGGGACACCAUAAAUCUCUAAAGUGGAGGCUCUGAAAUUCUCUUAAAUAAUUACAUCUCGUUUCAAUAGUCCUUUAAUUAGAGAAACUCCUUUAACUACACCCUUCACCGAGUUGUAGUAGUCCGAAAUGAGGUGUGACAGUUGUUUUAGUUGCUCCACACAAAUUAUAGAAGAACAUUCUCUCUGCUCUCCAAAAUAGUCCCUUAAUAUUGAAGCAUUUACUAUCUUAAUUAUUAUUUAUCAUUUAUUUCUUAAUAUUGGCCAUAAAGAGCCUUUACUGAUUUUAUUAUAACUAUUAGUCAUACCUUGACCAUCUUCGACAGCUCAAGGCGGAGCUCCAGAAUCAACCUCGAGGCCCCCAAAUUGACAAGCUCGAGGCCUCGAUUGUAAACAUAGCAGUUUGAUUAUCGCUUAUCCUUAACUCUUAUUUCGCUUCUACGUCUCGCAUACUUGGCAUCAAUUGCUUUACAACUAGCAGAAAAAAUAGAUUUACAUAUUUUUAGUGUCCCAUUGUAAAAUAUUAUUUUUUUACCAUUUUCAUGGUAACCAAUCUGUGACGCUUGAAAGGGCGCAAAUUUGCUCGCAUUUAAUACCCCAAAUACGUGUGGCCUCACGACUUAACAAAUAUAUUUGUUGAUUUUUGACGUAAUCAUGACCAUAAUUUUACCGUCUUUAACUUCACUUCUACUCAUCUUUUUACUUUGUUUACUUCAAAAAAUUUCAUAUGUCCUUCUUCUUUAAUGCACUCGUCUACCUAGAAAAAUUUUCAUCUUCUAAAACUUUCUUAGUAAUUUCUUUACUAACCCUUUAUUACUAUAGGUUCUUUAACGGCAACAUGUGUAAACUCUGUCCUUCUCUUCGAUGGAGUCCCGAAGGAAAACAAAGACAUUUAUGUUUAACCUCCCAUCUAAGAACCACCAUACCCAAACACCUCACUUCUAUUAAUGACUUCCAAGAGAAGGCUCCUUCUGCGUCGUCAUAGACUGCAUGCCUCCCGAUACUAGAUGCAAACGUUGAUGAGAUGGAUGAGAUCUAGGCUCGAUUGCAGCAGAGUGAGAGAGAGAAAAUUACCCACAAUCAAGAAGUUUCUCAAUUGCAUGAAAAGCUUCAAGAGGCCAAGGCUAAGUGGGCCGAGCUUUACGAUAUUAUGCUUGUUGAUGCCGAGCGCGAGUCCACCUUUGAGGAACAAAUCAAUAAUUAAAAAGGCAACCUUAAGAGCCAAACAUGUAGAAGCCAAUGCUCCCGAAGAGAAGAGGGCUAAACUGGAGGAGCUGUUAAAGAGUUCAAUGGACCAAAACCAGAUUCAUUUGGCUAUGAAUGUUGAACUCGAUGCUCACCUCCAAACCUUGGGAACUGAGAGAGAUAUCUUCCAAGUUGAAUUUUAUAGACUUAAGAAAAUGAUCCAAGACUAAAUGUAUUCCCUUAUAUUCGAUAAAACUUAUGCAAUACACCAUAUGAGGAGGAAUACCUUGGAAGAGGCCAAAGUGGGCAUUGUUAAUAUAGAUGAUUGCAUUGCCCAAGCCCAAGAACCAGACCUAUCGACUCGAGAAUGCCUUCUGGAUUGGCCCGCUACUACUGACUCAUUGAUUAGCAGUUAUGAGUAAUCAAGAAGUAAAGGGGUGAUUGAAGAUGAUGAGGAUGAAGGAUAAGAACUGGCGGCUAAUCCUUCUUCCUCCACCAAGAGAGACGUCGAUGUUACAAUUUUUGUUUUCAUACACAAGACUACAUCGUAAGUUAACUGAGGUACGCUCAGAAAUGAAAUCAUCUAUGGAAAAUUAAUAAAUUAAGUUAAUCAUGUUUCCAUGGAGGUGAUAUAUAUUUAUGAUCAUGAAUACUAACUACAAAGACAGAUGGAAGGCUUAGAAGCUAAAUAAACUGAUAAAAAUAGGUGUCGUCGAAAGUUGACAGGUUGGAAUAUUAAUCAAGGAGCUUAAAUGUUCAAUCGAAAUCAAUUCUAAUUAACCCAGCGCCCUAAGGAUAAAUUUAUUAUUAAACUAACAAAACCAGUAAACUAAUAGCUAGAACCAAACAAAUAGAACUGAAACUACACUAUGAAGAAUGGCAAAAUAAACAAACAAAUCAAAAAAAUGCAAAACAGUAGCUAAACAUGGAAUCCUACAGUUGAAAUCAAAUCAAAUGGCAAGAAUGCAAUCAGAACCGAUCAAACCACAAAUCAAUCCUAACUUAAACAAAAACAGUAGAAAUACUGAAGAUGAACAAAAGAAAAACAAAAUUAGAAAGCUAUGCAUAAAAGGGAAAAUUUACAAAUAAAAGGGAAACAAAAUUUAAGGACACUUACUGAUUAAACUCAAAACUGCGCUUGACGCCCUGAUUAAUAUGAAAUUGAUGCUAAUCACUUAUUCUCCGAUCAUCAUCAAUUUGUGGUAAAUCAACUCCUAUAUCAUGAAAAAAGCUUGGGUCGAUUGGUUUGAACUAUUGAAGCUCGAACUCAGAUCUAAGAUUUGAAUAAUUCUGGAUGUUUUGAAGGAAACCAGUGACAUAUUAGGCGUGAGGGAGGCCCGAGGAUUAUGGGGUGUUGUUUUGAGGUGGUUUGGAGGCGGCGCUGUCGUGCACAUCGGUGACUUGUGUUUAGGGUUUUUGACAUUCGAUACGUUUGGGUGAUAUUUGAAAGGAACUAAAGGCAGAUAUGCGAAGGGUAGGGGGAGAGGAACACGAGGUUUAAAUUUGGAGUCGAUUAGCAUCGGUGCCAUCGUGGGCAGCGGAGACGGCGACCACUGAUUCAAUUAGUCGAGAAGAUCGGCUGAUGUUUGAAGGUUGAGGUUUGGAGUUUUAGAAAGAGGAGAAUGAGAGGAAUCCAUGCUGUAUUGUCGGGAGCAUUUGGAGAGUUACCGCCGGCGAAGGCGAUUUCCGGCCGGCAGCAGACCGCGGAGGGUGGUGUAAUUAUACCGUCGUGUAUUAGGGUAUUUUGAGAGAUGAUUUAGGGGUAGAGAGGGUUGUCCGACACUUAAAUACCAAACAUCCUAGUUAGAUCCGGACCGUUGGAUUGAUGAGAUCCAACGGUCGUGAUUAAAGAUUAAGAAACGACGUCGUUUAGGGCAUUAAAACACUGGACCGGAUCAGGGCAAAGGGCUAGAUUGGACAGGUUCAAAUGUGUUUCCAUUGGGCAAGCCUACUUAAAUUGAAUAAUAGCCGAAAAACUGGUUGGCCUAUUUCUCUUUUUAUUUUGUUCUCAAUUAGUUCUCUUUUUGUUUGUUUUAUUUCAUUUUUGUUUCAUUUUUAGGCCUUUGCUAAAUGCAAAAUUAAAACGAAAAGACCAGAUUUAACUCUAAAAUUAAACUAAUUAAUUUCUAAAAUUAGCUAGAUCCUAAUAUAUAUAAAACUAAGUAAAAAUCGAUAAUUUAAAGUAAAAAAAAAUGAAAAAGAACUAUUUUUGCUAUUUUCACUUAUUUUUGCAAUGUCAAUUAAUUAAUAAACCUAAGAAAAAUAUAAAACUGGGUCCUAAAUGUAAAUGUGCUAUUUUGAAUUUUUUGUGAAUUAUAUCAAUUAAAAAUGCAUAAAAAUACAAACAAACACACAAAUAUGCAAUUAUAUUCUAAAAAUCACAUAAAUAAAGGAAAUUCCUAAUUUUAAGCAUUCUAUUAGAGUAAUUUAAGCGAGGCAAAAAUCACAUGCUCACAAGCGGUAUUCGGGCCUAGUGGCACAGGGAAAUUUUGGAAUAUCUUUCGUGGAAUGAAUUUGAAAAAUUAAUUUCAGUUGAAAGCUUUGAAUUUGAAAGGUUUGACCGAGAGUUGACUUAUUUGUAUAUGAGCUCAGAUUGAAGUUUUAUAAUUUGGUUAGCUUCGUUAAAGGAUUUAUGAUAUAGGAGUGUGAUCGGAAGUGAUUUUUGAAGUCCGGGGUAGAAUUAGACUUGAAUUGGUGAAAUGAGUAGUUUGUCGAACUUCGGUUGAUAGGUGAGAUUUUGAUCCGAUGGUCGGAAUGGAAUUCGAAGAAUUUCCGUAGCUUCGUUAAGUUAUUUGGGAUGUGUGUGUAAAAUUAUAGGUCAUUCGGACGUGAGUUGGUCGGAUUCGAAUGCGUGUUUUUUGAAGUUUUAGAAGAACUUAGGCUUGAAUUCGAUGUGAUUUGAUGGUUUUGGUGUCGUUUGAGGUAUUUUUACAAUUAGAAGAAGUUUGGAUGAUCUUUUGAAUAUUAUAUCAUGUAUGAUCGGGGUGAGAAUAGGGUACUUAAAUUUAUAUGGAGAUUAUGUUAUGAGUUAUUUUAGUCAUAUGAUAGCCGUGUAUCAUUUUUUGAAGUCAAGCAAGUUAUGGACCAAAAGUUUGUAAAGGUCAUCAAAAGUUUCAUUCGUAAAUAUGCAAAAAAAUUAGGUAAAAUAUAGAUGAUCUUUUCUCCCAAUACACUUGGAACUAAGGGAUAAUCUACAUAUCAAAUCUAGUAUGUUUAGGUCUAGUUUCCAACGCAUUAAAUAUUUCUUGAUACAACGUUGAGGUAGAGAGAUAUUCGCAUUUUUAAUUGGUGUUUCAAACUCAUUUCGAGUCAUUUCUCACCCAAAUCCAUCCAAGGUAUGCAUAACAUCUUCUUUAUUGUUCUUGAGGUUAAGCUUGUGUUGGUUGUGUUGUUUGAGUGAAAAACUAUAAGAUUGCACUUGAAAGAACAUGAGAUAUGGUUGUCUUUUUAGUUGGAAUAUUUUGUGGCUAAGUAUAUAUUUUAUUCUGGCUUGAAAGUUUGAGAAAUAAUAUAAUAAUUUUGUUUUAUUUGUGGUUAAGCUUUUAUAGGUGUUAAUUUAGUUGAUUGAACAAGAAGAUAUUAAAAACAAGUGAUUGAAGAUAAAAAUUAAUGUGCUAGACGUAUGGGGUUGUUUUGGAAGGCAUUUUAUUGAUGUUUUGAACUAGAAAUAAUAUAGUACAUAUAAGUAUGAUGUUUUGAAGGUUGUAAACUAAUUUAUUGUAUAACAGUUUGAUUCAAUUUAUAUCUUUUUACAAGUAAAAACGAGCUUGCCACUCAAUAUAAUUGUUAUGGUAAUCGAAGAAGAUCAUAUUGGAUUAUAUUGUUGUUGUUGCUAUUGUUGGCCAUAGUUUUUUGUUGGGAUAUUGCUUGCCCUUAGUGGUAUUUGGAAUGUAUUGAAAAUAAGGGAGUUACAGCCCGAUUUUCCAUAUGUAUGGCCCCGUGAAACUUUUCCUAAAACCUGAAAUUGCAUGGUGCCAAGUUAAUUUUGUGUUAGAGAUUGUUGACAUUCUUUGCGGCGAGCAAGCCCACAGUGGUUUGGAAUUUUUGGAUUGAUCAAUACGCUGGAGAGUAGAAGAAAUUUUUUUGGAAGUUCAGGACAUUUGUGCGGCCAAUUCUGCGACCGCAAAAUUUAUAUGCGCACAGCAGAGCAGAUACAGAGUGAAGAAGAGAUUUGAGUUGAUUUUUGGACAAAUUAUGCGGUCCAUUAUGCGGAGUGCAGAUACAUUAUAUAGUCGCAUAUGUGACCGCAAAUAUGUGUCAGGCUCCAAAUUUCAAAUUUGUAGGCCCGAUCCUAUGUCGAUAUAUGUAAUGCCAUACUUCAUUUUGAGCUUAUUUUCUGGUACUUUUAGAGUUAGAAAGAGAGUCUUAGAGGAAGAAAGUGUUCUUCUUCCAAAUUGCUCCUUAAUUCUUUGAUAUAUCUUGAAUAUUAUCUAGAGAGGAACCUAGGUUUUCAUCCCAAGAGGUAAGGUUCUAUCACCAAAAUUCUUAAUGUCAAAAAGCAACUACAAUGGGCCACUAGUAAUGUAAUAUAUGGGGAUAUGACUUAUUAUGAGGUGUGGGAUGACGUAAUCAUUCAAAAAUAGGGUCUUAAGAAUAAUGCACACCUUUUGUUAGAUAAUGUGCUCAAAUGAGCUAGAAUCAUGAUCAUCUAUCUAAUUUUUUAUUCAACUUGUUGUACUCUUAGAAUAGAUUGAAGGGUCUAAGGGUUCCGAAAUUAUUGUUGAAAUUAAGAAAAGCUCAAUUGAGGUAUGUAUGGCUAAAACCCCUUUUUCUUAGAAUCAAACCCCAUGGUGUUCAUGCAAUCGGUGAAAUUUCCAAAUUGAUCGUUAUAGGAAUUACUUUUCCGAAUGUGCUUGUGUUGAAAAAUAGAAGUACAAUGUGUGUACCAAUGCUUUUAUCGUGAUUAUCUUAAUCAUUUGAGGAUGUACUAAAAAUAUGGAAUAUUUACUACAAAUUCCUAGACUUCAAGUCAAAUUCGAAUAGAGGUUGUUAUUCCAAUUUGUAUGAAAAGGCUCUAUGUGCUAAGGAUUUCAAAUUGUAGGCUUUAUUAUUGCUUCUGAUAAUAUUAUUUGAAUGUGUAAAAAAGGGAAACUUGAAUUGUGAUAUGCGGCUAAGAGCCAAGUAUGAAAUGAGAUGAUGGAUAGAAAAUGCUAAUGUCUUAGGCAAAACGGCUUAGCCAAUCGGGCAUGAUCUGACAUUAUGGUUCACACUUAGGGGUGAUUAUGCUGAAAAUUGAAACUAGAAACAAAUUGAAACUGUAAUUAAGGUUGAUAUCUCAAAUGAGACGACCUAGCUGAUAGGGUAAUGCUCACGCUCUGCAUAAGGUGCGAUGGUAUUGUGGAUAACGGAGUAAAAAUCCCUCCAAAUAAUAUUAUGGUCCAACCUCAAGGCCCAGAUUUUGGUCCUAAUGUUUCUAAUGGACCUUAGGCGAGCCAUACAGAUGUUGGCUCAAAUAAUGGCUUUCGAGGCCCAGAGAUCUAAUGUUGCACCUUCUUCUUUGAGACAGCAAGGGGAUUCAGCUAUUUCCAGGCUAAACGAAUUCCUCUAGUUAGAUCCUCCAGUGUUCACAGGUGCCGAUACCGAGGAGGACCCCCAGGAUUUUAUUGAUGAGAUACACAAGACUCUAAGUGUUAUGCCUGCUACUGAGACUGAGGGAAUGGAGUUGGCUGCCUAUUACCUAAAAGGGGACAUCUAUUCUUGGUUUGAGCUAUGGGAGGACUCCCAUAAGAAGGGGAGCCUUCCAUUGAGAUGGGUGGGUUUUCUGACGCCUUUAUGGAUCAUUUCUUGCCUACUGAGACAAGUCAGCCUGCGCAACUUUGUUCAGGCCCUUAGUUCUUUAGUUACAAAUGAGGCUUAUACAGGUGCUUUGAAUUCAAAUAUGAACUAUGUGAAGAUGGCGGCAUUCGCUCAGACCACAAGGAACUGUAAGUUGAAGAACAAGAUGAAGCGAGAGGAUAGUAGUAAGAACUGAUCCAUGGGCAACUUCGUGAAAUCAUUUGACGUUGGAAAAUUAGCCUUCAGGGGAGGAACAUUAGGGCCAUCCCAACCUUAGAAGUGUAUCUGGAUGUUGAUUUUGAGGUCCGUACAUGAUUUGGCAUGAAUUGGAAAAAGGUGGAAAAAUAGAUGUUUGGAGAAUUUAGAUGGUGACUUUCUAGUUAUCAGACUCAAUUUUUUGUUCCAAAAGUUGGAAUAGAUCCUUUGUAUCAUUUGAGGUUAAUCGGAGUUGGUUUGGUAUAUUUCGACACAAGUUUGAAAAGUUAGAAGUUCAUAAGUUCAUUAGGCUUGAAUCUAUGCACGAUUUGUGGUUUUAGUGUUGCUUGAUGUGAUUUCAUCCUUUGAGCGAGUUCGUAUGAUAUAUUAGGACCUCUUGGUAUGUUUUUUUGAGGUCCAAGGUGACUCAGGUGUGAUUCAGAUCAUGUUUGGCAUAUUUUGAACCUUCAAGAACUGUUGAUUUUUCUGUUGCUAGUUUCACUAGAAGCAUUCGCGAGAGAGGUAUCCCAUUCGUGAAGAGUGUCUGGGAGGUAGGUGAAUAGUAUUCUAUGUGUUUGCAAUGAGAGUACCGCAUUCACAAGGUCUAUGGAAAGUGUGCAUCGCGGUCGCAAUGGGGAACUUAUCUUCAAGUGAAGGAUGAGGCAUGAAUAGGAAAAAGGGUUUAGGUCAUCGUGUAUGAGGUUAGAGGGGUACGUUUGCAUAGGUAAUGCUCUAUGAAGUAUCACAAACGUGAAGGACCCUUUGCAUUCGGGUAAGAGGUCUUUUGGGGAGUCUAGUUUUAUUCUCCGCAAAUGCGAGGAACUUUUUCGCAAUCGUGAAGGAGGACAUCUAGGCAGACUAUAAGAUUUGAAAAAUAAGGGUUAGUGUAAAAUUUAAUAUUUUGAUUUUAGGAGCUCGAAUUUAGGAGAUUCUUAGUGGGAUUUUCAAGGAAUUCAUUUGGGCAAGUGAUCCUUUCAUUAGUGUUUUGGGUUGGGAAAAUGGGAGAAAAUUGUUGAAACUUUAUAUGGUUUAAUUUUAAGAUUUGAAGGUUGAGUUGUGAUCGGAAUUUCGUAAUUUUUGUAUGGUUAGAUUCGUGGUUUAAUAGGUGUUCAUAUUUUUUUAAAUUUUGUCAGAUUUCGAGAUGUGGGUCUGGGUUUACUUCUUUUGUUGGUUUUUGACUUUUGUUUAACAACUUAGCUUUAUCAUGUGGAAUUAAUUCCUAUCGCUAAUGUUGAUUGUAUCAAGUUGUUUGUGGCUACAUUUGAUGGAUUUGUAGUCCGAUUCGCGAGAUAUGGUCUUGCUGGGGUAGAGAUUUGCACGAUUUGAAUUAUGUAAUACUUCUAAACUUAGUUCUGUGGGUGUGAAUCCCUAAAUUACAUGUUAUGUGGUUGGUAUUAAAGUGAUACACAUGCUAGGUGACCAGAGUGUGCACGUGCCUUGUAGAAAUUGUGACUCGGUCAAUUUUGUGGAACUGCAUAAUCAUGUAAUGUUCUUAUUAUUCACGUAUUCUCCAUAUGUUAGAUAAAUGAAGUUGUGAUUCAUGUUAGAAAGCAUGCAUAGGCUAUAAUGCUGGUACUCUUAGGACCUACUGAGGUCAUGACACUGUGAAUUACAUGAUUAAUUUGCAAUUAGUACUCAACCACAUCUAUCAUUUGCAUAUCAUAUCUUAGUCAUUGUUGUCAUAUAUUGAUACAUCAUAUCAUCAUUGUUUGUACUGAUUUUCAUGAUACUUGUGAGCUCGAGAAACUGGUGAGGAAUGAUUAUUGAGUGAGGUUAAGUUCCUGAUUAUAAAGUUUAUGUGAUCGGAUUGCACACAACAGUAGGCUAUAUUGUUUCAUGCCAUGAUUUGCUUAUUUUAGAGCUUGGGGCGAAUCAGCCCAUCAAAAGUCUAACUUAACAGCAUUUGGCACUAGUACCUACUAUCUACGAGUAUGGAGUGACUGGAAGUACUGCAUUACUGCGAGGACCGAGCGACUGGAAGGACUGAGUGUCUGAGAGGACUGAUUGAUUGGGAGGACUGAGUUAAUUGAUACUCCGAGAGUAUGUAUAUGACUUUAUCACUGUGUUACAUUAUAGUUGGCAAGCAUAACUAAAAUAGAGAUAUAGUGAUGUAUCCUUACUCAUUUCCCUCACACUUGGCAUUUUUUAUCCGUAUUUACCGUAAACAAUUACGUUUUAAAGAAUAUCAACAUUUUUGUAUUGUUAAUCCUACAUUUGGAUUGUGCCUAUUGAGCUUAUCUCUGCUUUUAGCCAAAGGUAAGGCUUAUUACUUAUCGAGUACAUUGGGUUGGUGGUACUCAUACUAGACUCUGUAUUUUGUAUGUAUAUUGAGGUACGUCUGGGUACGACGACUGCUAGCUUUGGAACUUUUUCUAUUGGAGACUAUCGAAGUAGUUGUUUGGCAUUCGCAGUCCUUGACUCUCUUUAUUUUUAAUAAUUUGUAUUGUUCUAUCUUUCUAGAAAGAGUGUUUACAAUUAGAAUAUGUUAUCAUUUAGGUUCUCAUAUACUUAGUGACACCCAGAUUUUUAGGAAUUGUGCAUUGAGUUGCGGAAUUUUUUUAUCGUAACUAUGAAAUAUUUUCUAUUUAAGAUUAUUUCAAUAUGUGCUUAUAUUAAAGUUUUGUGGUUAUUGGUGAAUUGUCAGCUUAACUAGUAUUACAAUAGGUGCCAUCAUGACAGGUGAGAUUUUGGGUCAUGGAAAGUAUGUAUUAGAGCCUAGGCUACAUAGGUCUCAAGAGUCAAGAGCAGGUUUAGUAGAGUCUUGCAGAAUGAAACGGAGACGUCAGUACUUAUAUUUGAGAGGCUCUCGAACCAUAAGGAGAACUUCACUUUACUGCAUUUUUGUCAUGCGAAGUUAUUGAUAUGGGAAACUAAUUCUAUUAUUCUAUUCUCUCACCACUGGUGAGGACACAUGUUACUGGAUCAAGUAGACGGCCACCAGUACAAUCAGCUAGGGCCACCAGAUGUUGGGGCCGUGGUAGAGGUCGAGAUGUAACUCGUACAACAGCUAGAGCAGCACUUUUUGACCAACCAAUUGCUCCAAGCCAUAAGCAGAUUCAAGAGAUUGUUGAGCUAGUGGGACUAGCUCAUGUACCAGGUAUACCACUUUGAUUCAUGGCCUUUAGGAGGCUCUAGGCUAGGUAUUGACUAUUUUCACUAGCCUCGCUUUUGCAGUUCAAGUUCCGACUGCACCAGCUACUUCUCGAUUUGGGUGAGGUGCUCAGACUCCCUCCACUUAUACACUAGAGCCGGUGGUGUAUGGACAUCAGAUAUUGGUGGUACUACCAACUGAGUUGGUUGCAGUUUCUCAUGCCCAAGUGUGUCCCAUCAUGAGUGAUGAGGAGCAGAAGAGACUAGAGUGAUUUGUAAGGACUAAGUCUCCAACAUUCACUGGAUAUGAAUCUAAGGAUUCUCAGGACAUUAUUGAUAGGUGCCAGUGUAUUCUUCGCACGAGAGGUAUUCCUUAGACUAGUAAGGUCUCACUUACUACGUUUUAGGUACCAGGGGUAGCCUUCUGAAGGUGGGUGGCCUAUCAGCAGAACAUACUGGCCAUGCUGCACCAUUUUCAUGGCACGAAUUUUCCAUUCACUUCUACGAGAAGUUUGUGUCACCGACCCGUAGAAAGAAGUUGCGUAGGCAUUUUGAGCAGCUAUAUCCGGAGGUUAUGUCAGUAAUCCGGUACGAGAUGGGAAUUUUGGAGUUAGCUCGUCACACAAUAUGGUUGGUUCACAUAUAGAGGGAUAAAUUUAGGAGGUUCAUUAAUGGCCUUAGUUAUAGAAAAUGUUUUGUUAUGACUCGAGAGAAUUCAUCAGGUACUAGGUUUGACGAGCUGGCUGAUGUUGCUCGAGGGUUAUAGCUGGUCUGUAGUUAGGAGCAUGAGAGUAGGGAGGCCAAGAGGACUUGUGGUUCAGGUGGUCUCAAUGGUGUUUCUUUUCUAUGGUAGUCUUACCACAACAGGGGUCGUCCCUAUAGGCCUGCUAAGAUGGCUCGUCCUGUUUAAUAUUGUGCCUUAUCUUGCUAAUAUUUAUGUAGUGCCCAUCCGGGUAAGUAUUCAAUUAGUGCUCUCCCAGCUCAGAGUUUCUCCCUUGCUCCAUAGGUUCAAAGUUCAUUUGUGCCAAGUACUUCAAGUAGCUAUUUUAGUUCUCUGGGCCCGAUUCAGUCCUCACCACUAGCAGGGAGCUUCUUUGAGUGCAGGGAGUUUGUACAUAUGUGGAGACAGUGUCCCUACAGUUUUAGAGGUCCAUUUGAGUAGAGAGUUAAGGUUAUGACUUCCGCACCAGUAACUACACCACCCGCCCAACCAGCUCAGGGUGGGACUCAAGAAGCAGGAGGUUUCCCAAUUGAAGGAAAUCAAUUAGGUGGCGGUCAGGCUUAAUUCUAUGAUAUCCCUGCUAGGCCAAAGGUUGUUGCUUCACAUGCAGUGAUCAAAUGUAUUACUUCGGUGUGAUACAAGGAUUGUUCGACAUUAUUUCACCCUAGUUCUACUUAAUCUUAUGUAUCAUCCUGUUUUACUCAUUAUUUAGAUAUUUCCCAUGAGUCCUUAAUUUAACAUGUUCAUGGUGGGCGACAGAAUUCUUGUAGAUCGUGUUUGUUGAUCGUAUGUAGUCAUCAUUAGAGGAUUAGAUACUAAAGUUGACUUCUGAUUGCUUUGUAUGGGUGAUUUUGACGUGAUUUUGGUAUGGAUUUGUUGUUACCAUGUCAUUCUAUUCUAGUUCACCUAAGCACCUCCUUUAUGCUUGCUAGCUGGUCCCAGAUGUCUUUAUUAGCUUUGAUUUUAUCUGAAUUUACCUUUAUCACUCUUAGCAAGACCAAGAACCUGUGUUUCAUGUUGUAUUUCCUCAUAAUGCCAAAGGUCUCUUGGAGGUGCUUUAAAUGAUCGCCUACAUUCAAAGACAUGACUAACAUGUCAUCGAUAUAUACUUCCAUUGUUUUGCCUAUUUUUUCUCAAAUUUUUGUUAAUGAGCCUUUGAUAAGUGGCCCUAACAUUCUUAAGACCAAAUGAUAUCAUCUUGUAAUAUUAUGUGCCAAAACAUUGAAUUAACGAAGUUUUUUCUUAAUCAUGCGGGUUCAUUUUGAUUUGAUUUUACCCGGAAUAAGCAUAAAGGAAACUCAUCAACUCGUGUCCGGCGGUAACAUCAAUCACUUGAUCAAUGUUUUGCAAUGGGAACGAGACUUAUGGUCACAACUUAUUUAAAUACUUAUAAUCUAAGGACAUUCUAAACUUAUUAUUCCUCUUCGAAACUAGUACUACAUUGACUAACAAUUUUGCAUAUUUUACCUCCGAUAAUUAAUCGAUGUCGAGUAGUCUAGUUACCUCUUUUUUAACAAACUUAUUUCUGAACUUGGCAAUUUUGAGUUUCUUUUGCCUUACUGGUGGAAAGUUUGGAUCCAAGCUUAGCUUAUGCACGACCAUUUCUGAUAGUAUAUAUGUCAUAUCCAAGUGUUUCCAUGUAAAAUAGUCAACGUUAGCUUUAGGGAAAUUUAUAAAUCCCGACCUCAAUUAAUGAUUUAAUCAUGUUCACAAAUGGAACUUCCUUUCUUGAAAUUGCUCGAACGAAGCCACCUGCUCAAGUUCUUCUGGGUUGACUUAGCUAUAUAUUUCACUUCUGGUGCAUGAAAGUAUCUCGGAACCUAAUAGGAUUCAAAUGACUCAUCAUUCAGAUAAGGAGAAGGCAUUGGCUCAUGUAAAUUGCAAUUUUUUGGACUCCUUUCUCUUGUUGUUGGAAACAAUUACUGCAUUUAUCUCCCUUACCGCUGGUUGGUCUCCUCUUAUCUAGAGGUGUGCAUUCGAUUUAUCAAUUCGAUUUUGACCUUUAUGAAUUAUCAAUAUGUACAUAUGCUUAAUGUUAUUGUUUCAAUAAGGUUCGAGUUUUUCGAUUUCGAUUUACCAAUUUUUGGGGCUUAUCGAUUCGGUUAUCGAGUACACCAAUAAGAAAAUUUGCGGGAUUCUAUGGAAAGUAUAUCGCUAUAAACACGCCAAACUUAUAUGGACAAAAAGUAGUUAAAAUAUGACGAACACCAUUUUUAACAUAAAAAUUGUGUCAACAAGCUCAUGCAACGAAACUAAAGUAAGGGAUCAAAUGUAUGCAACCACACUCCAACUGUAUUAAAAAAAAUACAUUAUCACAACAAAUUCUUUUUUUCAUUAAUUUGAACUUCAUUACCUUGAUCUUUAAAUAUGAUCAUUCCUUAAAUGUGGUAGAUGAAAUAAUAAGGUUAUGAACUUCGAGUAAAAGAAAAGGUAUUAUAGAAUAAGGGUAAAAAAAAUUUUAUAUAGCUUAUCUGUUUAUCUAUAAACCAAUAACCGAUAAGGACAAAAUCAAAAUCGAUAAAUUGAUAAACCGAUAUCGAUUAAUUGAUAACAAAUAAUCAAUUCGAUUUAUCGAUAAACUGAUUUGAAUACACACCUAUACUCUUAUCUGUUUGAUUCCUUCAAGUGUUGGGAUUUUCGGUAGCUGAUGAUAUGUUGAGGUCACAACCUUGAUAUCGUGAUCCACGGCCUCCUGAGGAUUAUAUUAUAGCCCAUGUUACCAUCUACUAAAUUGAAAAAAGUUGUUUUACUUACACCCCUUAGCGGUCAUGGGGAGGAGGAUCUCUCUUCAGGUUGUCAUAUUUUAAUAUUGAUUACAAAUAAGAGUUUUGUCGUUGGUCUGAUGCUUCCAGUCAGCUUUAUUUUAUCGAACGCUCUCCAAUUGAUGAUCUUGGCUGAGCUUCUUGGGUCAACCAAAACACACUUCAUUUAUAAGUCUAAAACAGUCAGAGAUAUUAAUAAAGUGUCAUUUGUGUUGAAGAAGGAGUCUGUCAAAGUCUUCCUCCAUGAAUGUGAUAUCAUCAUCCGCGAGUUACCGGAGUCUCUUGUUGUGAGUCAAAAAUAUCAUUAUUUUUUGUCCAUCAAAAAGGUUACAUUGUUGAUUUCAUUCCCUCAAAAAAAUAUGUUAAUAGUAAGCAGAGGGGAGUCUUCAGCCGCCUUUGAAGGCUAUCCAUUAUCUCGGCUUCGGUCGUAGUUUUUUUGGCUCAAUUACUUAGAAACACCCUGAGAUGACCAUUCUUCAAAAAUAUCGCCACCUCUGCUCGUCGAUGCUGGCAAUCCCCAGUUCUGCGGCUGUGAUUCCUAUGAUAUUCAUACCCCAAGUUAAGUUCCCUUUUACUACGAUCAUAUUGACCCUCUGUGGGAAUCACGUUUCUUUGAUAUUCCUCAUCGCCAACACUAACUCCACUAUGUCGAUGUUGAAAUUUUAACCUGAUAACAUAGGAUAUGUGGAAUCCCGGCCCCCCCAUACCUCUUUUUUGUAAUGACCGUUGUUCUGGCCACGGUCCGUUCUUCUAUCAAGAGCGAACCUGGCCGAGGACAUAAACCCUUUGUUGCUGCGUCUUUUUGUUCUUUUACAUGGAACGACAAAACUUUUAAAAGACCUCAAAUCCAUAUCAAAGUUAUUUUUAAACUUUUCUUUAUUUUCUUCUCGGUCCCGCCCCUUCGUUUACAUCGGUAACUCGAGUUGAUCGUCUUCUAUUCUUAUUUUUUAUUGCCAAUGGCAAUGGGCAACCAUCCAUAUGGUUUCUUGGAACUCAAUAAGUCAUUCAAUUAACAUUCAUAUGGCAUUGGUGCUUCACCAAUUCAAACCCUUCACGAACACCCCUGCUACCCACUAAAAUGGUACAGUCGGUAGCAACAUCCUGUCUUCCUAGAACUGGAUCACGAAUUCCCGCAACAAUUUAGACUUGCAGCUUGUUACCCUAUUUAUUUUUUAUUCCAUGCUCAUUUGCAAUUAUGUGACUUGCUGGGGCAGUUGGUUUGGUCUCACCGAUGUUCCAGAGUGAAUUGGGAUACUUAUUACCAAGGUUGGAAGCCUUAGAUGAAAGGGUCUCGAAGUGUGUGUAAAUGACAUCCGAAUGGAGUAUUCAUGAUUCUGGAAAAUCCAUAUGGUGAUUUAUGUACUUAGGAGUGUAUCUCGAAGUUGAUUUGGAUGUCCGUAGAUGAUUUUAUCUUAAUUUGGCAAAAGUUGGAAAAAUAAAAGUUUGGAGAGUUGAGAAGUUUGACCGAAAGAUGAAUUUCUGGGUAUCGGACUAGGAUUUUUAUUCCAAAAGUUGGAAUAGGUCCUUUGUGUCAUAUAUGACUUGUAUAAAAUUUUUUAGGUUAAUCGGAGUUGGUUUGGUGUGUUUUUGCAUUAGUUUUAGAAGUUAGAAGUUCAUAAGUCCAUUAGGCUUGACUCGAAGCGUGAUUUCUUGUUUUAGUGUUGUUUGAUGUGAUUUCAUGCUUCGAGCGGGAUCGUAUGAUAUAUUAGGACAACUUUGUAUAUUUGUUUUGAGGUCCAUGGGCCUCAGAUGUGAUUCAGAUCAUGCUCGGCGCAUUUUGAACCUUGAAGAACUGCUGAUUUUUCUAUUGCUAGUUUCCUUAACAUUCGCAACAGAGGUCUCCUACUCUAGAGCAAGUGGUGCAUGCACAUCAGUUACCGGGGUUGCUAAAAUCCUAGACGGUUGUAGUUUCUCAGACCUAGUUAUGUCCCAUUGUGAGUGAUGAGGAGAAAAGAAGACUAGAGUUGUUUGGGAGGCUCAAGCCUCCAUCAUUCACUAGGGCUGAGUCUGAGGAUGCUCAGGACUACUUGUAUAAGUGCCAUUGGAUUCUUCGUAAGACAUAUAUUCUGGACACUAUUGUUUAUCAUUUACUACUUGAAAACUGACGAGAGCAACUUUCUGAAUGUGGGAGGCUUAUGAGCAGAACAGACCAGCCAGUGUUGCACCACAUUUAUUGCACAAGUUCUCCAUUAUUUUCUAGGAGAAAUUUGUGCCACCGACCCAUAAAAAGGAAUUGCUUAGAAAGCUUGAGUAGCUAUGCUAGGAGGGUAAGUCUGUGACCCAGUACGAGAUGGGAGUUUUAGUGUUUCCUCUUCACGCGAUAUGGCUAGUUCCUGUAGAGAGGGAUAGGAUUAGGAGGUUUCUUUAUGGCCUCAGUUAUCGAUUCCGAUUUGUUAUUACUAGAGAGAAUUCAUCAGAUGGUAGGUUCGACGAGGUAGUGAUAUUGCUCAAUAGAUAGAGUUGGUUUGUAGUCAGUAGCGUGAGAACUGCGAGGCCAAAAGGCCUCAUGGUUCGGGUGGUUUCAGUGGUGUUUAUUAGAAAGGGUAGUCCUACAAAAGCAUGGGUCGUUCUUAUAGACCCACUAAGCUGGCUUGUUCGGUUGAUCAUUGCUACUCAGCUAGCCAAUAUUUAUGUAGUGCCCAUUCGGUUGAGUCAUCAAUAAGUGCCCUCCCAGCUUAGAGUUUGUCCUUUGCUCUAUCGGUUCAAGGUUCAUCUGUGUCAGUCCCUUCUAGUAGUUAUUCUGGUUCUCGGAAACUGAUUCAGUACCCACCACCAACGAGGAGUUGCUUUGAGUGCGGGGAGUUUGGGCAUGUAUGGAGAAAAUGUUUAUGCCGCUUUGGAGGUCUAGUUUACUAGAUAGGUAAAGUGAUGACUUCCUAUCUCGUUACAUCACAACCCUCUUAUCCAGCUCCGGGUGAGGCUCAGGCAGCUAGAAGUUUCCCUAGAGGGGAAAGCAAUAAGUGGUAGUCAGGCUCAAUUUUAUGAUAUCUGUGAUAGGCCAAAGGCUGUUGCUUCAAACGUAGUGAUCACAGGUAUUGUUUCGGUGCGCCACCACGAUACUUACAUAUUAUUUGACCGUAGUUCUACUUAUUCAUAUGUAACUUCCUAAUUUACUUGUUAUUUAGAUAAGUUUUAUGCCAAGUUCUCCAAGAGUGAUUAUUGGUUCAGUUCCUCGGGCACGUGUUGUCUAGUGUGGGGAUUAAGGAGGAUCCAAAUAAUAUAGAGGCAGUGCACAGUUUGUCCAAACCAUGUUCAAGUACAGAGAUUUAGAUUUUUCUUGGCUAGGAUGGAUAUUAUUGUCUUCGUGGAGGGUUUCUUGUCCAUUGCAACGCCUCUGACAAGGUUAACCUAGAAGGGUGAUCCAUUCAAGUGGUCUGAUGAGUGUUAUCACAACAUUCAGAAGCUCAAGACUGGCUUUACCACUAGUCCAUUUCUUAUUUGCUUUCGGCAUCAGGUUCAUAUAUAGUGUAUUUUGAUUCUUCUCGGAUUUAUAUUGGGUGUUUCUUGAUGCAAGAGGGUAGAGUGAUUGUUUAUGCUUCAUGUAUGUUGAAGCCUCAUGAUAAGAACUACCCUGUCUACGUGUGUCUUAUGAGUAUUUACGGAUCAUCAAAGCCUCCAUCACUUGUUAAAAAGGGAUCUAAAUUUGAUGCAACAGAGAUGGAUGGACCUACUAAAGGACUAUAAUAUCACCAUUUUGUAUCAUCUUAGGAAGGCCAAUAUGGUGGACAACGCCUUGAGUAGAAAGCGAUGAGUAUGUGUGGCCAUGUAAUUAUCCUAGUCAGUGAUAGACAACCUGAAUCAGAUUUUUUGGCCUUGGCCAAUCAAUUCAUGAGGUUAGAUAUUUUAGAGCCUAUUCGGGUUCUAGUUUGUGUGGUUUCUAGGUAUUCUUUAUAUGAUCGCAUCUGGGAUCGUCAGUAUAAUAGUCCUUAUUUCCUUGUCCUUAAGUACAUGGUUUAGCAUGGUAGGUCCAAGAAGGUUACCCAUAUGGAUGAUAGGGUAUUGCAUAUGCAUGCUCGAAUUUGUGUGCCCAAUGUGGAUGGGCUGCAUGAGCUGAUUUAAUAAGAGGUGCCUAGUUUGCAGUAUUUAAUUCUUUCAGGAACCAUGAAGAUUUAUUAGAACUUGAGUCAGUAAUAUUGGUGGAGGAGAAUUAAGAAAGAUAUACUGGGGGUUUUUAACUCGGUGCCUAAAUACUUAAAGUGCGAGCAUCAGAGACCUGGCGGUUUGAUUCAAAGGCUUGAGAUUCCGUAGUGCUAAUGGGAGUGUAUCACCAUUGACUUUGUAUUUGGUCUCCCACAAACUUUAAGGAAGUGAUGCUAUUUUGGUGAUUAUGAAUCAAUUGACCAAGUACGUGCAUUUUAUUCAAGUUGGUACAACCUAUUCUUCAGAGUGGUCGGCUGAGAUCUAUAUUCGCGAGAGUGUUCACCUUCACGGUGUGCCGGUUUUCAUCACUCCAAAUCAAGGCACAUAGUUUACAUUGUUGUUUUAGAUAUAAUGCAACUAGAGUUAGGAACACCGAUUUUGUUUAGUACACCGUUCCACCCAUAGAAAAAUAGUCUUAACAUACUAUUCAAAUACUGAAGGAUAUUCUACGCACAUAUGUUAUGGGUUAUGGGGGUUCUUGGGAUUCGUCUCUACUGAUCGCAUAGUUUGCCUACAACAACAACAACCAAUCGAGCAUUUCGAUGUUUCCAUAUGAGGCUUUGUAUAGAAGACAAUUCAAUCUCCAAUGCGUUACUUUGAGUCAGGUGGGGCUAGGCUAUCGGGUACUGGAUUGGUUAAGGAUGCUUUGGACAAUGUUAAGUUGUUUCACGAUCGGCUUCGCACGGAGGUUUAAGCAUAAGAGUUAUGCCAAUUGGAAAAUUUGUGAUGUUGCUUACAUGGUGGGAGAGAGGGUAUGUAAGGCACCGUAAAGUUUUACCUAAAAACCCUGAAUUUUGUGUUGCUAAGGUAGACUUAUGUGUUAAGAUUGUAGAGUUAAGGGACUUUUUGGGAUAAACAUGUCACGGUGCGAACCUGUGGAGGCGUGGUUGGCAUCUGGUACCAUAGUGGCCUCUCAUUCAUUCCUUUUGUAAUUAUCAAGGGCUAACAUGUCCACAACUUGGAGUGUACAACCGUACGUGAAAAACACUAUUUUGUUGAACAAUUUUUUCUGAAACAUGAAUACGUAUGGGCCAGCAAGGCCUCUCACAUACUUUACAAAAUGAAUAUUUGUCUAAAAAGCCUCUAAAAUUAUUCAACAUCAUAUGGGAUAGUAUACCGGCAUACCCAUAAGUCCGUAGAAAAACUCUGACACGACGACUCAUAGACUCGGCUACACUCCGAAUGAGGUAGAGUCUUACUAAUCCUUUGGAGAACGCAGACCUCGGCUAUUGUGAGGGUUCGACAAUCUAAUUAUCUAUACCUGCAUGCACGAAUGUAGCAUCCCUAAAAAAAGAAUAUCAGUACAAAUAAUGUACUGAGUAUGUAAGGAGAAACUGAAAUAUAACAAUAAGUCAACAUUAAUUAAGGACAUAGAAUAAAUAUAGAGUAUUUGUCUCAUCAUGUAAAUCUAAAUAGCUCUGCAAAUCAUAGUAUCUAGAAUAUGCGUAUAAUGUCGUGUAAUUCAUAGGUCUAUAUUGACAUAACAUCAUAAAGCCUCUGAGGGCAUCCCAUCGUAUCAUUCCAGCCACUGAGGGCAAAAUCAUCAUCGCAUACCAGCUGAGCAGGUGGUAGUGUGUAUAUAACGCCAUAACCCUUCACAUGUCCCAUAUAUAUACAUACAUAUAUAUAUAUAUGCACAUAUAACGCCGUUUGAAUCAUAUUCAACCCUUGUGGGCAACAUCAUCAUCGUAUACUAGCUGAUCAUGUAGUGGUGCAUAUUGUAGGCUCAAGUAAAGGUUAGUUUUGAAGACUGACAAAGGAACUCGAGAUGAACUAGGUCCAUCACUCCGGUGCACAAAAACAGGCAUAUUCAAGCAUGUGGGUUGCACGUGAAGAAGAUAAGCUAAACUUGGUGUACUUAAUGUUUUCUGAUCGAAAUGGUUGUGUAAUUGGUAAGGAGAAGAACUCCUUAAUUAAAGAGAACACAAUUCAAGAUAGGAAGGAGUUAGAAGUUAAAAUCAACUAGAACUCUUCCACCAAUAAAGAGUUGCAUCGGAACUCCAGUUAUUUCUUAAUCUACUAACUCUAUAAAUUGUAGGAUGUUCUCGCAUUACAAGUGUUGCAAAAAAAUACAGAAGAUAAAUGUGAAUUGAGAGCAAAAUAUCAAGGCUUUUUGCUAUUAGUUCGUGUGUGAUUCAAGUGUGCAAACCUGAAGCUACAUGAAGUAGAUUGAAGAACCAGCUCCAUAAAGAGUUUUAUAAGUCUUUCUUUAUUUCUAGUUCAAUUGUAGUAGAUGUUUUCAUAUUUUACCUUUCAUAUUUCAUAGAAGCAAUUGUAUUAGGAACCUAGAGUAUUCAACUUAGAGUUAACUUGAAGUUCUCGCAGCAGUUCAGGGUGUGUGUCACAACAGGAUUAGAGUUGAUCCUUAGGUUUACAAAGAGUUUUUGUAAAUGUUGUUUUGGUUCAGUUCUUUUAGUGGAAGUUUAGGAAAAUCCUACUGAGUAGCAGGUCGUGUUUUUUCAUCUUUUGAGGCAGGUGUUUUCCACGUAAAAAUCUUUGUGAUCUUUAUUAUUAGUAUUUAUAAUUGUGCAAACAGUAAUAGUUGGAACACCUAAAAGAACCAUGUUCUUCUAUAGUUCCGUUAAGCAAAAAUAGGGUACCACACAAAUUACCCCCCCCCCCCUUGUGUUAUUGAUUCUUAAAAUAUAUAUUGGUAUCAGAGCGAGUUAUCCUUGAAGAGGUUAACACCUUAGAAAAAGAUCAAUAUGAGUGCACCACCUAGAAACUGGGAAAGGCAAUCCACUUUUUAAUGGCCACUACUACUCUUGGUGGAAAAACAGGAUGAGAGAUCACAUCAUCGGAGAAGACUAUUAGCUAUGGGAUAUUGUCAUAGAUGGUCUCCUAGCUACUAUAAAGAAGAAUGUUGAAGGAGUAGAUGUGCCAAAAACAAGAGCUGACUGCAACGUUGAGGACUUGAGCAAAUGGAAAAAGAAUGCUAAGGCAAAUAAAUGGCUUUUAUGUGGAUUUGGUCCUGACAAGUACAGUAGAUUUCAAAGUUGUACCACUGCUAAGGAAAUCUAGGACACUUUGCAAGUGGCUCAUGAAGGAAUACCUCAAUUUAAGAGGUCCAGAGGAACACUACUGUAUUCUCAAUAUAAGAAUUUUACCAUGAAGGAAGGGGAAACAAUCCAGGAGGUGCAUACAAGGUUCAUCACACUGACAAAUCAACUUAAUUCUCUUGGAAUGUUAUACUUGAAGAAGACAAGGUUGAGAAAAUUCUGACAAGGGUUUUUCCUGUCACUUGGGAAAGCAAAAGCAGUCCUAUUCAAGAAUUAAAGAACAUUGCCACUCAUAAGUUGGAUGAGCUUAUUGGAAAUCACACUGCCUAUGAACUUAGAACACAAAUCAUGAAGAUGGAUGCACUCAUGAAGGAAAAGAGUCUGCCAUUCAGAAUCACAGAAGGUGCAGAUCUAGAGGAGGAUGAAAUGACUAUGAUCACAAAGGACUUCAAGAAGCACCUAAUGAGAGGAAAUGGUCCUUCAAGAAGUGGAAGCUACAGCAAACAAAGGGUUCCUAAAAAACAAACCAAUAAGGUGUGUUACAAGUGUAUGAAGCCAGAGCACCAUAUCAAAAACUGCCUUCGAUGGAAAUUAAAUGGAAGAAGGAAAUAGAUGAACAAAAAAAUAGGAAGAAGAAACAGGUUCAACUAAGAAAAACAAAGAAUCAACAAAGGCUGUGGUUGCUGCUUGGGAAGAAAAGUCAGAUGAGGACUCAGAGGAUGAUGAUGGAAAUGAACAAGCACUUAUGGUAAUUGGAGAAUUCCAUAAGAUAUCUUAGGUAAGUAUAAUUUGUCUCAAAGACGAGAUUCAUUUUUUGUUGAAAGAAAGGCUAUCUGAGUUACUCCUGGAUGUCAUUGAUGAAUUUGAGGAUGUAAACAAUGAAAUGAAACAAUUGUCGGAGUGUGUGUGAUUUUAAAAUCUAAGUGCAAAAAUCUAGAACUUAAGGCUAGUGAAACUGAAAGUAAAAAUGUUAAGUUAAAGAACCAGGUUCAUGAACUUGACAGCACUAUCCUAGAGCUUAGAUCUGAAAAUCUAAAAGAGAAAUUAGGAACUCGUAAAAGGAAAGUUGAUCACAGAAAACUCACUUUAGAAGAAAAUAUAGAAAAAUAAAAGAUGAGUUGUACAAAAGAGAUGAGCAGAUAAGAGUCCUUAAAGCGGAUAUAAAUAAGAUUAAGCACAAGCUAGACAUAACCUAUAAAUGGAAUAGGUCAUUCGAUGCACAUUCAAGGCUAUACGAACACCAUAGUAGCAAUAAGCGAGGGCUUGGCCACGUGACCCCAACACCUAAAUGGGAUCUCAAAAGCAAGUACCUCACACUUCCUGAGAGCAUAAUUUGCACACACUAAGACAAAACGGAUCACUAAAAAUCUGAAUGUAUUACAAAAGAAAAGGCUAGUCAAAAGAAUAAAGAAUUUGUUCAAUGGAAAAAUAGGUUGCCAAGUUUAGCUAAAAAGAAUCUAAUUCACCCUUUUGUCUAUAGAAAAAGAUCCAAACUAGUUUGGGUUCCUAAUACUUGCCCCUGGUUUCCCUUUGUGGGUCACAAGUUAAGGGGAGUAGACAAAUAUGGUACAUGGAUAGUGGCUGCUCAAAGCAUGUGAUAGGAAGCAAGAACCAGUUCUUUUCAUAUGAGGACCUCAAAGGAGGUAAUGUCUCCUUUGAAAAUGGGAAGAAAGGUGUGAUCGUUUGAAUUAGAAAGGUAGGUAAGACUGUUCUCACUCUAUUGAGAAUUACUGCUUGAUAUAUGGCCUAAAAUACAACCUAAUAAGACAAUUACAAUAGCGUGAUAGUGGUAACUUGGUAGCUUUUACCUCUACAAAAUAUUUUGUGAUUAAUCUUACCACAAACAAGAUUGUUUUGUAGGGAAAAAGAGUAAAAAAUACAUAAAUUAUAGAUUUGUCCAUACUUUUAGAAAAUGAACUCACUCGCUUAAUUUUUUGGUGACAAUGAUCCCCUCCCUUGGCACAAGAGACUUGGACAUGCAAGUCAGAGUCAACUCGACAAAUAAAUCUCCACGGAUCUACUAAUAGGGCUGCCUAACAUCAAGUUCAAGGAAGUCAAAGUUUGUGAGGCUUGUGCAAGGGGGAAGCAGGUAAGAUCCUUUUUUCAAUGCAAGAAAGUGGUAAGCACCACCAGAACAAUGGAACUAGUCUAUAUGGAUCAUCGGGGUCCAAUAAGAACGUUAAGUAGAGGUGGUAAAAGAUAUGUGGUGGUGCUUGUUUAUGAUUACACUAGGUUUACUUAGACAUUAUUUCUAACAUCUAAAGAUGAAACGUUGACAUGUUUAUUUCUUUUGUUAGAAAAACGCAGAAACAACUAGGUAAUCUACUUGCAUAAAUUAGGUCUGAUCAUGGAGCUAAAUUGAAAAUAUUAAGUUUGCUGAAUUUUUGCAAGCUACAUCAUAAAUAUUUGCAUGACUAGACCUCUUGAUAAGAAGAUUCCCCAUGAGUUACUUACAGGGAGAAAGAUAAAUAUAUCCCAUCUUAGGGCAAUUAAAUGCAUGUAAUUUAUUUGCAAUAAUGAAAAAGAUUCCCUCGGUAAGUAUGAUCCCAAAAGUAAUGAGAGAGUAUUAUUGGGAUAUUCUUUACAUAGUAAAGCUUAUAAGAUCUACAAUAAAAGAACAGUAGAAGAAAGUGUACAUGUGAAUUUUGAUGAAACUAACACUCUUUCUAAGAAACAGGAAGAUGAAGAUGAAGCAAUUGGGCUGGUAAGAAAUUUAAAUGGAAUCACAACCCAGACUGAAGUUGUACCUGAAGAAGGAAUAGGUGAUGGAACAGGUUCUUGUACCCAGGGCAACAUGAUAAGGGGAACUGAUCCUCAAACCUCGAGGGAACCUGUCCAUGAACCUAUUCCUUAGUAACAAAACUAGGAAGGAACAUCUAAACAAAUUGACACUCCUACUGCACGAUCCACGAAAUUGGAUAUAGAUGAAUCUCGUUCAUAUGUUGAUUAGAACUUGUAUAGGGGAAUGAUUGGUUCUCUAUAUUAUCUCAUAAUUAGCAGGCCUGACAUUGUCUGCAGUGUAGGUCUUUGAGUUCUAUUUCAGGCAAAUACAAAGGAGUCCCACUUGACUAAUGUAAAGAGAAUAUUGAGAUACUUGAAAGGCACCCCCGACCUUUGCCUUUGGUAUCCAAAAGGUAGCAAUUUUAACAUAGUGAUAUAUGCUGACAUUGAUUAUGCAGGUUUCCUAGUGGAUAGGAAGAGCACUUCAGAUAUGGCACACUUCUUUGGUUCAUGUCUUGUGUCAUGGGCUAUUAAAAAGAAAAUUCAGUGGCCUUAUCUGCUGCUGAAGCUAGGCAAAUCCAAAAGAGUCACACUUGACUGCUGUCAAGAGGAUAUUGAGAUAUCUGAAAGGCACCACUAAUCUGUGUCUUUGGUAUCGCAAAGGUAGUAAUUUUGAUGUAGUGGGAUAUGCUGAUGUUGAUUAUGCAGGUUUCUUAGUGGAUAGGAAGAGCACCUCAGGUAUGGCACACUUCCUUGGAUCAUUUCUUGUGUCAUGGGCUACAAAAAGGUAAAAUUUUGUGGCCUUAUCUACUGGUGAAGUUGAGUAUAUUGUUGUUGCUUAGUGAUCGUGCUCAAUUAUUAUGGAUGAAGCAUCAGUUGUUGGAGUUUGGUACUAAAGGUUGUUGAAACCCUAUUUUAUGUGAUAAAAUUAGUGCUAUUAGUACGACUAAGAAUCUUGUUAAUCAUAAGAAAACUAAGAACAUAGAUGUUAGACACUAUUUUUUGAGGGACAACUACGAGAAAGCUUCACAACUAUAGAGUUUUAUGCUACUGAUAAGAAAAUUGCAUAACAUCUUCACAAAAUAAUUAAGUAGAGAUCACUUAGAGAGGAACAAGUUAGAAAUACGGAUGUUUAAAAUCACCUAGAAGGACCCGUUCAAGGUUAAAAAAAUUUAAAAAAAUGGAAAUAAAUUGGUUAGAAAGUCUGUAAAGUAUGCACAAUUAGAUUAAAUCUUGCUCAGUCUCAUACUUUCUAUAGUAUACUCUUGUUCCAUAUGUUAAAAUUAUUCAUUAAUCUCUACUGAUAUUUUCUGUAUUUUGGCAAAUUAGACUUACACAAGAGAAUUAUCAGUGAAGAACUUAGUUCAUCAAGAUAACACGGUAUGUUUUCUACAUUCUGCAUAAUUUGAAAUAACUAUGGGAUCAUGAGCAGAGUCCUACAAAAUUCCAAAGUUCUAUUGAACUUAUCCAUUACAACUGAACCAGUUACAUUCAAGACUAUUGACCCAAUUAAACUAUCUAGAUUCUUUUCAAGUCAGCUACUCAGGGGGAAGAAAGUGGUUCUUCCGAAACUGAACAUGUAUCUUCGGAUUCUAAAGUUUCUCCUGAGAAAAUUUUAUAGUUGCUAAAAAUAUGGAAAAUAGAUUUAUAAGAUCUAUAGCAGGUGGUGAGACUAUAGAAUCUAGAGAAGUUGGUGGUAAAAAUGAAAAAAUAAUGAGAGCAAGGGUGCUAGGACUACUAUGAGGGGACAGCGACAAGAGUGGACGAUUAUUCACCUACUCCAAUGAGUUUAACCAAAGACGCAGCUGCAAUGGUUAGGGAGAUGAACCUGGUUCAUCUGUAGAGGAAAUCCUCGCAGACCUAUUGAAGAAAGUGACUAAUAGUUAUAAUCCACCUUUUUGAUAGAGUUAUCAAUGGCAUCAAAACUCAUACAGUUCAUUAUGGCUUCAUUCUUACAACUGUGCUUGCACAUUUCAAUGUACCUAAGAAAAAGUGGGAGGUUAGUACAAGUAUGGAUCAUUUUUUGGUUAAUACUCUGCUUUCUUGCAAUUAUGAAGUCAAUGUCACUCCUAAAGAACAUAGUUCAUCCAAAAAACAAAGGUACCAGUGAAUAUCAAGGUCACGGCAUUGGUGCAAGAUAGUGGGGCUAGGGAUGCUGAGAUUGAAAGGCUGAAGAAGUGAUUGGUUGAGAUGGACUAGGAGAGAUGCUCUCAAAACUGAGCUAUCAGUAGAGAAGAAGAGAAGAAUGGUGGCAUUCUUCAAAGUGUGUUGAAACUCCUCCAAGUCAAGAACCAAGCACCUAGUUCUUUCCAGCCUUAAGCCUCCUAGCCUAGUGUAGAUCAACCAGUGACCCAGUUCGGGGCGUUUUGUUUCUUUUGCUCAUAUUUUCAAUAUUUUUAUUUCUUCAUAUGCUUUGUGGUAGAAUCUUAUCAAUCAUCAAUGAAAUUCACUAUUUUUGCUCUAACUGAUUGUUCAUAUUUCUUAGAUGGUUAAAAUUCUUAGCUUGAUCUAUGAUGAUUAAUCCAUGAUUGCAUUUGAAGUAGCCUCAAUGGCCAUGACUAAGCUUUAAUAUAUAGUUAUCUCAUAUUUUUAUGCAACUUUUUGAUGAUGCCAAAAAGGGGGAAAGGUUGUGCUUUAAACAAGUGAUGUUUACACUUUGAACAGUGUUGUUAAUAACCUAAUGUACCUGGUCAUUGAUGAUAAGUGAUAAAAAGGAAAAAUAUUUUUAACAUUGUGUUGAUGUUGAGCUGAGUUGAAACAUGGCUUAAGCUUAUGAAAACCAUAGAGUUUGUCAUUAUCAAAAAGAGAGAAUUUGUAGGCUCUAGUAAAGGUUAUUUUUGAAGACUGACAAAGGAACUCGGGAUGAACCAGGUCCAUCACUCAGUUGCACAAAAAUGGGAAUAUUCAAGCUGAGGGUUGCACGUGAAGGAGAUAAUCUUAACUUGGUGAAUAAAUUAUAAGUAAAAGGUCUCCUUAAUCAAAGAGAACACAGUUCAAGAUAGUGAAGGACUUAGAAGUUGAAAUCAACUAGAACUCUUCCACAAAGGAAGAGUUGCAUCAGAAUUCUAGUUAUUUCUUCAUCUACUAACUCUAUUAAUUGUAGGAGGUUCUCACAUUAUAGGUGUUGCACAAAAACUCAGAAGUUAAACAUGAAUUAAAAGCAAAAUACUAAGGCUUUUUGCAAGCACGUGUGUGAUUCAAGUGUGCAAACCAGAAGCUACAUGAAACCAAUUGAAGAACCAGCUCCAUAAAGAGUUUUAUGUGUCUUUAUUUAUUUCUAGUUCAAUUGUAGUAGGUGUUUUCAUAUUGUAGUAUUGUACCUUUCAGCUUUCACAGAAGCAAUUGUAUUACCUAGAUUAUUCAAGUUAGAGUUAACUUGAAGUUCUCACAGCAGUUGAGGUUGUGUACCACAACGAGAUUAGAGUUAAUUCUUAGGUUUACAAAGAGUUUUUGUUAAUGUUUUUUUGGCUCAGUGAUUUUAGUGGAAGUUUGGAAAAAUCCUACUAAGUAGUAGGUCAUAAUUUUUUCACCUUUUGAGACAAUUGAUUUUCACGUAAAAAUACCUGUGUUCUUUAUUUACAGUAUUUAUUAUUCUCCAAAAUGUAGUAGUUGGAACACCUAGAAGAACCGGGUCCUUCUAUAGUUCAGUUAAUCGAAAAUUGGUACCACACAAAUGACCCCUCUCCCCUGCCCCCUUGUGUGGUAUUGAUGCUUAAAACGUCACGUAUAUAACACCAUAACCUUUCUCAUAUCCCAUAUACAUAUAUAUAUAUACAUACAUAUAUACACAUAUAUAAUGUCACUUGGUCGCGGGUCAAUGUACAUGAAUGCAAUGCAUGAAAAUUAAGUUAAUAAAAUCUUUCGAAAUUGUCAUAAGACCAUUUUUCCUUUGAAUAAUAUCAUAAAGUAACAUCAUUUCAACUUUCGUACUUUCUUGAGGCCCAUGUACACAUAGGAAAAUAUUAUGACACGUAUAAAUUCAAGAUCAUAUGCACCUCUAACACUUCUAUGAAUAGAAUCAUUUAUGGGAGUUGUGCUUUUUCUUGUUUGUUUGUGUAGUAUAGAUCACACCCAAGUAAAGAACGGAUAGCCUUAACAUACCUUGAAAAUUUUGGAGAGUCCGAGCAACAUAGUUUUUCAGCAUUAUUCUGGAUACAUGUUAUGUCCUAUCUUUUUUUGAAAUGGUGUGAUAUUUAUUCCAUUAAACACAAAAAAAUAAGCUUUAAAAUAGUAGUUCUGAUCCUAAGGAUCAGUGAGAGAUGGUAACACAUGCAUGGCAUGUGAAUUACCUGAAGUAGCAAGGGUGCUACAACACUUAAAGGAAAUAGAUUUUUCGACACCCUGACCACCCUUGUCUGCCACUAUCCUGGCCAAAACAAAGGGUGGUGGAAUAAACAACCAAAACUCUAUUUUAUUUAAACCUAAGUUAGCCACUGCAUGCUUUGCGAGAUUAUGGGCUACUUCAUUCCCUUGCCGGAUGAUGUGAUGCAUUUCCACGGUGCCUAUUUUAUCCAGGAGUAACCUAUAGCAAUGAAUAUGAGUAUUGUAAGUUUUGCAUCCCUCAUAUAUCAAUGAAAUUACCUGUGUAGCAUCAAUCUCAAUUUCCAAAGGAAGGUGCUUCCUGUUGUUUGCAAUGCAAAGACCCUGAUAGAGGGCCAUUAGUUAUGCAUGGAUUGGUUUGUUUGUAAUAAUUUUUGAAGCAAAGAUAAUUACCCAGUUACCUUGUCCAUUCAUUAUUACCCAUCCAAUACCUCCCAAACCUAUUGCCUUAUUAUAGGGACCAUCUACAUUAUGUUUGAACCAGCCUGCAUGGGGUUUUAUCCAGUUGAUGUUGAGUUUGAUUUUCCUAUUUAGAUUCUCUAAUCGUUAGUAGGAUAUAUUCAACAAAUUUGUCAACGAUCUUGCCAAGGGAUAGCACAAUAUUAAUGUUAUUCAUAUAAUUGUUAUUCCUAGUGAUCCAAAUAUUCCAAAUAACAAGAGGAAACAAAGUGGUCCAAUUAAUAAUUUUAUCAGGGAUUAUAGGACUUUCUGAUAGGAGAGAUCUAAGCUAGUUUUGGCUUAAGGGUUGAAAUCUGGAAGUAUCAAUACCCAGAUUACCAAAGUUUUUGGACAUGAGGGCAUGUGAGGAAAAAGUGAAUAAGGGAUUCUGAUUCCUUACGACAAAUAGUGAACCUCUCGUCUAUAUUAAUACCAAUGUAGGAAAAAUAUUUUCUACAGGAAAGUCUAUUGAGGUUAGAAAGACACAUAAAGUAUUUUAUUUCGUUCGGGCAUUGUAAUCUCCAAACUCAAUUACUAUUAAUAUCACGAUGGCUUUCCCAUUCUAGAAGAUCGUAACAAGACUUGGUUAUGAAGAGACCCUUAAUGAGGUUUUCCAAAUGAAUGAUCCUUUUUCUUUUGGUUUGUGAGAAUACUUUUUAUUAGAGUAAUUGCCCAUAUGUUGGAGGGGUUGUUUGCUAGCCUCCAAGCUAGAUUUGCUACUAGGGUUAGAUUUUUUAGGCUAGCUUUACUACGACCUAAUCUCCAUUCUUGCUAUGGUCUAGUAACCAAGUCCCAAUUGACUAGGUGAAGUUUCUUUCUUUGGUUGUUAGUACCCCAAAGGAAGUUCCUUUGAAUUUGGUCGAUUGUCUUAUGGGUUUCGGUGAGAAGCAAAGUGUAUUGCAUGUAGUAUGUUGGUAGGCUUGCUAAAGUAGAAGUGAUUAAAGUGGUUCUACCAGCUACAUUAAGCUUGUCAGACUUCCAUUCUGCAAGCUUACUCCUCAUUGUAUCAAUGACAAAUUGGUAGUCAUUGUUAUUUGGGGUAUUAUUAAUAAUAGGGAAUCAAAGAUAUUUCCCAAAAGAUUUGCAUUCUUUUAUUCCAAUGGUCACGAAGAUAUUAGAUCUACUUAUAGUGCCAUAAUUCAUAUAGAAAAUUAUCCUAGACUUGUUGAGAUUGCCUGCCUGCCCAAAGAUGUUACAAAAUUGUUUUAAUGUCAAUUUAUUAGAGGAGGUACUCUUAGUAUUUGUUUUCUAAUUAGUACCAAAUCAUCUGCAAAGAAUAAGUGGGAUGUGGAAGGACUGUCUUUGCUUAAUGAGUUAGUAUCCCAUCCAUUUAUGUUGACUAGAUGUUUAAUAUAAUUAGAGAGAAUUUCCAUGCAUAAAAUGAAUAUGUAAGGGGACAUAGGGUCCCCUUGCCUAAUCCCUCUUCUUUGUUGAAAAACGUGAUUUUUCGUCCCAUUAACUCAUAUAGAGGUUGAAGAUGUAACUAUUCAUGACAUUAUUAGUUUCGAGAUAUCAGCAUGAAAUUUAAAAUAAAGAAGAGUCCUAUAUAUAAAAGACCAUUCAAGUUUGUCAAAGGCCUUUUCGGGAUCUAAAUUAAUCAACAUAUUACAACUAUUUCCUUUAAUAUUUUUCGAAAGAGUUAAUAAGUUCCUGGAUAAUAAUGGCAUUAUCACUAGCCCUUCUACGUUUUAAAAAGCUAGAUUGAAUAGGCUACUAAGGUUAUUAAGAAGGGGUUUUAUCCUAUUAGCAAUAAUUUUUAUGAUAGUCUUGUAAAUAGUGUUACAAAUACUAAUAGAUCUAAAAUUGUUAAGGUUAUUAACAUUAGGAAACUUUGGUAUAAGGCAAAUAUAGGUAUAAUUGAUUUUUGGAGGGAUUGCAUGGUCAUUAAAAACGUUGUGACAAAAAGCCCUAACAGAUUCUCCUAUAAUUUUCCAAACUUUUUGGUAAAUAAGGGUGCAAGACAUCUGGCCAGGAGAUUUGAAAUGCUUACAAGAGAAAUAGCACUAUUAAUUGCACCGUCUAGCAAUGAUUUGUCUGGACAUGAUAGGUCUAUUUUAUGGAAGCUAGUAGUGUUAUCUAUAUUGUGUCCGGCUACGGCUACCGUGAAGACGUGGCCAGCAUUAAAUAACUUAUAAAUGGUCAAGGGUGUGAUUACUAAUGUCAAGGUGGUUAUCCAUCCAAGCCCCUUCACUAUUUCUAAAACAACUAAUGUGAUUUUGUCUUUUCUUAUUAGAGGAAAUAAUUUGGAAGAACUUAGUAUUUGUAUCUCCUUUGUUUAACCUACUAAUUGUUAAUCUAAGUUUCUAAUAAUCCUCUUCCAAUUUGAGGAUCUUAUUGUAAUUUGUGAUUAGGUUCCCUUCCAAAUAUUUUAGGAAAGAGCUAUGAGCAUAGUAUGGGGAUUUUUGAAUACCAUUAAUUCUUUCCAAAAGAAAUUUUUUUCUCCCUUAAAAUAUUUCUAAAGUGCUCUUUAUCCCAUUUUUUAAUGUACGCACUGAAGGAAUUGGUAGCCCCUAAUAGAUCUUUAUUCCUCCAUUGGUUGGCAACUGUAUUUCCAAACUUUUGGUGGGUGCACCGUAUAGUUUCUAAGCGAAAUUUUUUUUCACAACCAUGAGUAAUAUUAUUUAAUUUAACUAAAACAGGUUUAUGGUUGGAGUGACGGGGUUGUGUGGUGUCGAUUUCAGGGAAUUCUUGGGAGGUUGAGGAUUUGGUCAAAGUUGGAUAUUCGAGGUGAUUUGCUAAAGUUUGAAAGAAGUUAAGGCUAGAUCUGUUAUGGGGAUGGGGAUGGGGAACCUGGGGUGUUAUUUUGGAGGGCUUUGACGGUGGCGCCUCCAUAGGCGGCGGAGACGGCGUUUGUUCUUUUGAAUAUUCAAGGAGUUGGAAUGACAUUUGGGGAGUGAUUUUAAAGGUAUUGGAAAGAGCAUGAAGAGGUGAUUCAAUGAUUUUUUUUUGGUGAGUUUGGAGCUGCGCUAGCAGCGGCAACGAUUUCCGGCCAGCGGUAGUGAGGCGGAAGGUGGCGGAGCGGAUGGGUACAAGGAAGGAGAUGUUUGGUCUCUAGGGUUUCUAUUGGCUUCUGACACUUUUAUUUGAUACUCAAAAUUGAAUCUGGGCCAUUGGAUGAUGACUUAUGAACGGUUGUGAUCACAUGCCCAAAAAUGGCGUCUCUAAUGAGAGACUGAGUCAGGGACGGGUUUGCACCGGUUUACUGAUAAUUUGGACGGUGGGGAAGUUUUGGGUUGGGCUACCAUUAGCCUGGGCCCAAUAUCAGGCCAGCCUGAUUUACAACUCUUUUUCUUUAGUUCUUUCAAUUAUCUAUUUUCAAUUGUUGUUUCAAUUUUUAAACUCAACUAAAAUAAAAUCUGAAAAGUUAUUCAAACUAUUAAAUUACAAUUAAGCUACUAUUAUUUAAAAGGAAAAAUUAAAAACAAAUCAAAGUUUCUUUGUUAUUUUUUUAUAUUUUGUAAAAAGCCUAAAUUAUAAUUAAUUCUAACAAAAAUCAUGUAAAAAUCACAUCCUGGAUGCUCAUGCAAUUUUUGUAUUUUUUAUGACUUAUCAUGCAUGCACAAAUAAAAAUACACAAAAACAUGCACAAUUAAAUCCUAAAAAUAGAAUAAUAAAAGGAAAACAAUCCUAACUCUGAGAAUUCUGUAGGAGUAGUUUUAACGAGGCAAAAAUCACGUGCUUACUGCUGCGCUUCUUUGCCCGGAAACACGAAGGGUUUUCGGUCAAAGAUAAAUGAGCGACAUGAGAGAUUUUUGCCUGCUCAAAACACCAAGAGAAGCAUUUUGAAAAAUGUCUGACCUAACUUCGCUUCAAAGUUUGCCUACAUAUCAUUGGCUAUAAAGGAAUUAGGUUAGUGUAGUUCUGGAGUGUUUGGUAGCUUGGACUACCAUGAGCUCUGAUUUCACUGUUGAUGCUGCUGCUACUGCUUGCUGAACCCUUAUUACAUCCAAAAAGGGAAUCAAGACUAAGCUAGCUAUGCCUAUAAGUUACAAGAUUCCUAUCUAUAGUUCUCCUGAAAGUUGAUUUGAGUCUUGGCUAGAUUCGCCACAGACUUCAAUCAGAAUCUUGAUGCUCGUAAGCUGUAGGUUUCAGUUCUUUCUUCAGCAUCGAAAUCAGUUGGGACAUGCACGACUUGUGAUUUUGAAUCAAACCUGGACAUCCCACAUCUUCUUUUCAACAAUCCUGGAUUUGUUACCUUUUGUUCUCUUCUUCUUUUCCUUUGUCCUGCAUUGAGAUUCACUCUUCCGGCAUCUCAAAUCUUGUGGCAUGUGGUAAAACCUAUUUGACUAUCAAAACCAACCAAUGAACGAAAUAUUCUACCCCAGUUUUCCCUAGGAAAAAUUCGUGAGUUAUUUGCAUCAUAGGUCUAAACUAUUCCUGUUGAAAACAAUGAAUUCGGGAUUAUGUACUUUUUGGGAGAUUACCAGGUUAAGGCCGGGUUAUGACGUAAAGAGACAUGUUCAUGCUGGGGUGAGAGGCAAAUCCGCAGGUUAUGCCGGGAUUGAAAAAGAAAAAUUCUAGGUUAUGCUAGGGAAAUCUGCGGGUUAUGUCGUGGUUUUAAAGAAAGCUCCUAGGUUAUGCUAGGGAGAUCCGCAGGUUAUGCCGGGAUUGGCAAGAAAACUUCUAGGUUAUGCUAGGGAUAUCCGCGGGUUAUUUCGGGAUUUGAAAGAAAACUCCUAGGUUAUGCUAGGGAUAUCCGCGGGUUACGCCGGGAUUUGAAAGAAAACUCCUUGGUUAUUCAAGAGAAAUCCGCGGGUUAUGCCGGGAUUGAAAGGAAACUCCUAUGUUAUGCUAGGGAGAUAUGCGGGUUAUGCCGGUAUUGAAUGGAAACUCUUAGGUUAUUCUAGGGGAAUCCAUGAGUUAUGCCAGUAUUUGAAAGAAAACUCCUAGGUUAUGUUAGGGAGAUCUGCGGGUUAUGCCGGGAUUAAAAGGAAAGACUCUUCUUUUGUGCUAGGGAAAUCCGCGGUUUAUGCGGGGAUUGGAAAGAGAAAAUUUCCUAGGUUAUGCCAGGGGAAUCCGCGGGUUAUGCCGGGAUUGGAAAGAGAAAAUUUCCUGGGCUAUUCCAGGGGAAUCUGCGGGUUAUGUCGGUAUUGGAAAGAGAAAAUUCCUAGGUUAUGCUCAAGAAAUCCACGGGUUAUGUCGGGAUUUGAAAGAAAACUCCUAGGUUAUGCUAGGGAGAUCCGCGGGUUAUGCUGGGGUUGAAAGAAAACUCCUAGGAUAUGCUAGGGAUAUCCGCGGGUUAUACCGGGAUUUGAAAGAAAACUCCUAGGUUAUGCUAGGGAGAUCCGCGGGUUAUGCCGGGAUUGGAAAGAGAAAAUUCCUAGGUUAUGCUAGGGAAAUCCAUGGGUUAUGCUGGGAUUUGGGAGAAAACUCCUAGGUUAUGCUAGGUAGAUCCGCGGGUUAUGCCGGGAUUGAAAGAAAUCUCCUAGGUUAUGCUAGGGACAUCCACGGGUUAUGCCGGGAUUUGAAAGAAAACUCUUAGGUUAUACUAGGGAGAUCCGCGGGUUAUGCUGGGAUUGAAAGGAAGUAUUCCUGGGUUGUGCCAAGGACAGAAUGGACUUAGCUUUUAGAUUAUGCUAGGGAAUAAAGGAAGAAGAGGGGCCCUCAGGUUAUGCUGGGGACGGAGAGAAGAAAAGGUUCCUCAGGUUAUGCUGGGGAUAUAGAGCGGAGCCCUCGGGAUAUGUUGGAGAAUGAAAGGAAGAAAUUUCUCAGUCUAUGCUGGGGAGAGUGGAACGUUAUCCUUGGGUUAUGCCGAGGAGGUCCACAAGUUGUGCUGGGGAAGACUAAGGAUGUGGCUUUAGAUCUGGGGAAGGGAUCAGGGAUCGGAGUCCUAUGCUAUCAUGUUUUAUGAUUCUCCCUUCUUUCUUUUUCUUUUUUUGUUUAUAAAACUGCAGGAAAAGAUGUAAAGAGAACUUCCUUUUUUGUUGAUCAAUUGUGCAACACUAUUCUUAGCCUUCGCAUCAUUCCUUUGAUUGCAUUUGCCAUUUGUACCCAUUGUUUUGAAUUACACCUGUUUCAAAUUUUCAAUCAAAACAAGAUUUGUUAGUUCAAACAGUGAUUGGUUUGUGGCCUUGAUUUGCUUGAUCCUAGCCUCAUUUCUGUUGCGAAAACCUUUGACUCUCCUGACUUUGCCUCGUAGAUUGGUCGGA
rnacentral:lncRNA from 1 species